UGACAGGACUACCUACACUUCUGAGGAAGACCAGCCGGGUGAAACGCGUAAAGUGUUGGUACUGGAAGAAUUUACUCCCUAUAUAUAUAUAUAUAUAUAUAUAUAUAUAUUAUUAAAAAUAAUGUAUUUAUUAUUUUAAAGGUAUAUUUCCAUUUUAUUACAUAUUUUACUUUUUAUCAUCAUAUUCCUGUCAUCAUCUCCUGGUGUAUCCAGCAUAUUCAAGGUGGGGAUAAUACCACCAACGCUCUUCAUACCAGAGCAGGCCGUUGCUCUGCAUAUUGUAAGUAGGAUACCACUUUUUAUCCUUUACUUUGUGUAUAUACAUACUAUACCAUAAGACCUUUCUCAUAUAUACUGGACGGAAAGAACUACCAAGCAAAGCCACAAAUAUCCAUAGACGGGAAUUGUACCGUCCAGGCGCAUUACAGCAGAGCUCAUAGCAGCUCUAUCUAUUGUGAGUUUACACACUAUAUUUAUACCUCAAAUAGUUUAAAUGACUGUUACAUAUUUUACUAUUUUUUUGCCCAUUUUUGUUUUCUUCAACGUUACAGAAACCAUCCUACCUCAGCGUAUGUAGAUUGAACCAACUGAUGUAAUUAUAUUUUCCAUGUUAUUUUUGCUAUAUCUUAUUGCUUUUUGGGGCGUGGUCUAUCACCUUGCUUGUUGUUAUCUGUUUUGUCAGUGAGAUUUUGGGAAUUCUCACAGAUUUACUGCUGCCCACCCAACUACCUUGGCUAUAGUGAGCGCUUACUCCUAUAUCUAUAUGUAACCAACCUUAGCUGGCAACCAACCGCGCGUCCAAUUAGGGACAUUGGAAGCAGAACGAAAAACCCCCGCCGAGUAAUGCGAAUGAUACCGUGGGACACAGAGGCUCUAUACGGCCAUUGGGACUCCGUGCCCGUGUUACCGCCUAACCCUGCGAUCAGCAUAAGCCAGGAAGCUAUCGUGAAAGGAGGUUUGCUUACUGUAGCAGAACCACGAGACAAUGCACAUGUAAAUGAAAAAUAUAUCAAAACGUACUGACAUCACUGUAAGUCGCCGGUGAGACCGUUUGCCCGCCAAGACGGAAUUUAGUCAGAGGUUCCAGGACCCAGGUAACCAUCUGAGAAGCGAGCUGUGGCAAUGAAGCCUAAGUUGAAGUAGUGUAAUACCACGAUAAACCCAGAUACUGGAGAGCAGGAUACCGUAGCGAUCUCAGCAGUGGGAAUGGCAGUCUGUGACGCAGCAGAAUCGUCAGACCAAUCACGGUAUGGUAGGCAAGCCUUUUUUAAAGGUCCCUAAGAUAGAUAGUUGGGAUAGUUAGAAAGAUAGACAGAUGGAUUAGAUAGAUAGACAAAAUACACAAACAGACAGACAGAUACACAUACUCUGUAUAUGUAGAGUAAUGUCUCACAAGUACAACAGUACCCCUCAAUUAUAGGUUUUAUGGUGAUUUGGAAAGUUACAUGGUCAAACAUUUUGCCAAUUUCUAUUUUCGUAAAUUUCUAUUUGCCAGAUUGGCUAUGUUGCCUUUGAAACCGUAUGGCAGCACAGAAAUGAAAAUUAACCCCACCGUGAUGGACCAUUUGAAAAAAGUAGACAGCAGAGGGUAUUCAAAACAGGGUAUGUCCAGUCUUUUGUAGUAGCCACUUAGUCACAAACACUGGCCAAAAUUAGCAUUUACCGUAUCUCACAAAAGGGAGGACACCUCUCACAUUUUUGUAAAUAUUUUAUUAUAUCUUUUCAUGUGACAACACUGAAGAAAUGACACUCUGCCACAAUGUUAACUAGUUAGUGUACAGCCUGUAUAACAGGAUAAAUUUGCUGUCCCCUCAAAAUAACUCAACACACAGCCAUUAAUGUCUAAACUGUUGGCAACAAAAGUGAGUACACCCCUAAGUGGAAAUGUCCAAAUUGGGCCCAAUUAGCCAUUAUCCCUCCCGGUGUCAUGUGACUCGUUAGUGUUACAAGGUCUCAGGUGUGACUGGGGAGAAGGUGUGUUAAAUUUGGUGUUAUCGCGCUCACACUCUCUCAUACUGGUCACUGGAAGUUCAACAUGGUACUUCAUGACAAAGAACUCUCUGAGGAUCUGAAAAAAAGAAUUGUUGCUCUAAAUGAAGAUGUCCUAGGCUAUAAGACGAUCGCCAAGACCCUGAAACUGAGCUGCAGCACAGGGAGCAAGACCAUAUAGUGGUUACACAUCACAGGUUCCACUCAGAACAGGCCUCGCCAUGGUCAACCAAAGAAGUUGAGUGCAUGUGCUCAGUGUCAUAUACAGAGGUUGUCUUUGGGAAAUAGACAUAUAAGUGCUGCCAGCAUUGUUGCAGAGGUUGAAGGGGUGGGGAGUCAGCCUGUCAGUGCUCAGACCAUAUGCCACACACUACAUCAAAUUGGUCUGCAUGGCUGUUGUCCCAGAAGGAAGCCUCUUCUAAAGAUGAUGCACAAGAAAGCCCGCAAACAGUUUGCUGAAGACAAGCAGACUAAGGACAUGGAUUACUGGAACCAUGUCCUGUGGUCCGAUGAGACCAAGACAAACUUAUUUGGUUCAGAUGGUGUCAAGCUUGUGUGGCGGCAACCAGGUGAGGAAUACAAAGACAAGUGUGUCUUGCCUACAGUCAAACAUGGUGGGGGGAGUGUCAUGGUCUGGGCCUGCAUAAGUUCUGCCGGCACUGGGGAGCUACAGUUCAUUGAGGGAACCAUGAAUGCCAACAUGUACUGUGACAUACUGAAGCAGAGCAUGAUCUCCUCCCUUCGGAGACUGGGCCGAAGGGCAGUAUUCCAGCUUGAUAAUGAUCCCAAACACACCUCCAAGACGACCACGGCAUUGCUAAAGAAGCUGAAGGUAAAGGUGAUGGAAUGGCCAAGCAUGUUUUCAGACAUUAAACCCUACUGAGCACCUCAAACAGAAGGUGGGGGAGCAUAAGGUCUCUAACAUCCACCAGCCCCAUGAUGUCAUCAUGGAGGAGUGGAAGAGGACUCCAGUGUCGACAUGUGAAGCUCUGGUGAACUCCAUGCCAUGAGGGUUAAGGCAGUGCUGGAAAAUAAUGGUGGCCACACAAAAUAUUGACACUUUGUGUCCAGUUUGGACAUUUACACUUAGGUGUGUACUCACUUUUGUUGGCAACGGUUUAGACAAUAAUGACUGUGUGCUAUGCUAUAUUGAGGGGAAAGCUAAUUUACACUGUUAUACAGGCUUUAUACUUACUACUUUACAUUUUAGCAGAGUGUUAUUUCUUCAGUGUUGUCACAUGAAAAGACAUAAUAAAAUAUUUACAAAAAUGUGAGGGGUGUACUCACUUUUGUGAGAUACUGUAUAUUUGUGUGUGAAAAAUGCAAAAAAUGAAUACGAACGCUAACUUUGGCAAGUGUUUGUGACUACUAGAAAAAACUAGACAUACCCCAUUUGCAACACCUUGAGUUGUCUACUUUUGCAAAUGGUAUGCCUUCAUGGGGUAAUUCUUAUUCCUGGGCUACCAUACGCUCUCAAAGAUAACAACCAAAUUGGCAAAUUUCAAUGAAAAAAAUGAAAUGGACAAGUCUUAUAUUUGACCCUGUAACUUUCAAAAACACUAUAAAACCUGUACACGGGGGGUACUAUUAUACUCGGGAGACUUUGCUGAAUAUAAAUAUUAGUGUUUCAAAACAGUAAAACGUAUCACAACAAUUAUAUUGUCAGUGAAAGUGCUGUUUGUGUGUAAAAAAUGCAAAAAAUGUCACUUUCACUGACGAUAUCAUCGCUGUGAUAUGUUUUAUGGUUUUGAAACACUAAUAUUUGUGUUCAGCGAAGUCUCCCGAGUAAAACUGUACCCCCCAUGUACAGGUUUUAUGGUGUCUUGGAAAGAGACAGGGUCAAUAUAGAGCUUACCCAUUUCAGUUUGCCAGAUUGAUUUGCUGGGUCUAUGUUGUCUUUUGAGACCAUAUGGCAGCCCAGGAAUGUGAAUUAACCCCAUCAUGGCAUACCAUUUGCACAUGUAGACAACCCAGGGUAUUCAAAAUGGGGUAUGUCCAGCCUUUUGUAGUAGCCACUUAGUCACGAAUGCUGGACAAAGUUAGCGUUCAUAUUAAUUUUUUGCAUUUUUCACACACAAAUAUAAAUGCUAAUUUUGGCCCUGGGCUGUCUACUUAUUCAAAUGGUCCAUCACGGUGGGGUUAAUUUUCAUUUCUGGGCUGCCAUACCAUCUCAAAGGCAACAUAGCCAAUCUGGCAAAAAUUCAUUGACAAAAAUAGAAAUUGGCAAAUCUUAUGUUUGACCCUGUAACUUUCCAAAUCACCAUAAAACCUAUACUUGAGGGGUACUGUUGUACUCGUGAGACAUUACUUUGUGGGGUGCUUAUGGUGUGCGGUGCAGUGCUUAUGGUACUCAAGGAUUACUAGGAAGCAGCGAUUGGCGGAGGCACCCGGUCCGCAACAGGGGUAAAUUAUAUUGGUCAGCUUCAUAAAUGUUCCAAAUAGGAUAUGGGUGCAUGAUGAGCAGCUGUGAAAAUCACAAGAUGGAAAACUGGAAUGCGCACCCUCCAAAUAAGGUAUUUUAGCCCCCAGAGAACCCGACACACCAAUACAUUGUCAGGAGAUGUUGCUGAACACAUACUGGGGUGUUCUUUGGCAGUAACCCUUAAGGUUCUCCAUACAUGUAUUCUUAAAUUGCUAUGUUUGUAAAAAAAAAUCACCAAUUAUUUUAUAGAUUGAUGGUAAAAUAGUUGCAUGAAAAGAGUCAAAAUACCCCACGUUUAAUACCUUAGGUUGUCUUCUUUUAAAAAAAUAUAUACAUGUGAAGGGUUAUUCAGGGAUUCCUGACAGAUAUCAGUGUUACAAUGUAGGAAAUAGCAAAGUGCUACUUGUACUUAUUGCCCUAUAACUUUCCAAAAAAAGCUAAGAACAUGUUAACAUUGUGUAGUUCUAAAAUCAGGACAAAAUUUAGAAACUAUUUAGCAUGGGUGUUUUUUGGCAGUAGUAGAUGCCUAGCAGAUUUUGGGGGUCAAAGUUAGAAAAAGUGUGUUUUUAAAAAAUUUUUAAAAAAAAUUCAUCAUAUUUUAUACUUUUUUUUAUAACAAAUUAUAUGAUAUGAUGAAAAUAAUGGUAUCUUUAGACAGGCCAUUUACUGCCAUGUGUGGGAGCAGUAAAUGAGUAAGAGGAAAAUUACAGCUAAAAACAAACACCGCCGAAAUCUAAAAAACAGCCCUUGUCCCAAACAGUAAGAGAAUUGAAAAGUGGUCUGGUCACUGAGGGGUAAAAAUAAAUAAAUAAAUCAAUAAAUAAAUAAAUAAAAGGAUGCCAUAGCAUCUUCAAAUGAGGUAAGCAUCCUGGGCACAUUUUCUAGCAGGCCUUGCUGCCAUCUACUGGCCAAGUGUGAAUUUGCUUCCAUUAAGUUUUCAACGUGAAUGUGGUUGUUUAGAAUCCGAAUAUUGUAUAUCUCAAGGGCAUUUGUAGGACAACAAUAUGAAAACAUUAUAAUUGAGCUCUUACAUAGAAAUGUCAUUUAAUACUGAAGGCAAUAUUCCUUUAUAUAUUAUGAAUUAUAAUGCUUUACAGAUAAGAUGAUAUUGUCACGAUUCGGGGAACCCAACACGCUGGCACACACACACACACAAAAGGUGCCGUACCGGACCUUAGAGUGGCCGGGCUAAGCACACACAGAAUAGUCAGGAGACAAGCCGAGUAAGGAGAACCAGAAGACAGAAUAACGUGAAACAAGCCGAGGUCAAAGGGUAGGAGAAAGUCACAGAGUCAGAUAACAAGCCAGAGAGUACGUAACCAGAAGCACAAGGUAAGUAGCAAUACUAGCAAGCAAAGACCACAACAGGGCAGGGAGGAACAGGAAAGGUAAGUAUUUAAACCAUAAGGUUAAUUCUGAUUGGAUAAUUUCCAAUCAGAAUUAACAAUCACACGUGGGAGAUAUCUAGACCUCCCACUGUGAUUAAGGCACUGUGCCUUUAAUGCCGGGUCAGGUGACUGACCCCAGCGUGUAUAAACCUGGGCGGUCUCCCAGCGUGCAGCGUCAUGUAUGCUGCCACUGGGGGACGUGGAGGGAACGGCUGGAAGGAUGCCGCUCGCCGGACCCACGAGGAGAAGGGGACCGCGGACAGCUGGAGGGUGAGUACCGCGAGCGGAGUGCAGCCUCCCCUCGCAGCCGCCCGCGGGAUCCCGGCAGAUAUGCUGGCAUUGUAGGCAAGCCCUGAUCCCAAUUGCUGAGGAGAAUUCACAACUCUUAAUUAGAAUGUUUUAUGUAAAUAAUAAGCAUAUUGGUAUGGCUGGAUGACGGCCCAACACGCAGUACUUGAACAAAAACUUUAGAUAGAAUAGGAGACAUGUCAACUUGAAGGUGCCUACUGCAGUCGCAGGGGUCGCAGUCAUGACCGGCCCGUCACUCCAGGGAAUACAGCUGCCCUAUGGACCCCUGUGACCGGGGUGCCUGCCGGCGAUGUGGUGCAGCCCUGGCCUACACGGUACAACUGCCAGGGCUGCACGUUCAGGGGUCCAUUGGGUGGCUUAUGCUGUUAGGGUCACCCAAUGCAAUGUAUUUCCAGGGGGGCGGUCAGAGCUGUAGCGCUUUAACAGCGCGACCAGGCCCCCUGUGAUGAGGUCAGAGCACUGGGAGGAAUUAACAGCCGGUAAGCAAGAGUGAGAGAGCACUGAAAGUCUCUCACAAAUCCCCCUAAACUGUCUCCAGCUCUGCAUAGCCAGUCUGGCAGGAACCAACCCACAAACUGAAGCUCUGCACCCCAGCCUCAAUCAGCUGAUCUUCCACACCCAAAGAGGAAGAGAUAACAUCAUACAUGGAGAAAGCUCACACUGCCCUCAGUAUCUACUGUCAGUGACUGGAACUUGUAGGUUUGCCCCGCAGCCCAUAACUGAUAGUGAUUGUGUGCUUGUGUGUGUGUGUGUGCUUACCAGUGCACUUAUCUCAUUGAGCUUGUGUGUGUUUAUAUGAGCUUGUAUGUAGUGAGCUUGUUUGAGUGUCAGUGAGCUUGUCUGUAGUGAGCUUGUUUGCGUGAGUGAGCUUGUCUGUAGUGAGCUUGUUUGCGUGAGUGAGCUUGUCUGAAGUGAGCUUGUGUGUGUUUGUGUGAGUGAGCUUGAAUGUAGUGAGCUUGUGUGUGUUUGUGUGAGUGAGCUUGUGUGAGUUUGUAUGAUUGAGUUUCUGCAUUUUUCAGUGAGCAGUCAGUGAGCUUGUAUGUAUUUACCCAUGAGUUUAUCUAUAGUAAGUUUGUGUGUGUGUGUGUCAGUGAGCUUGUGUGCUUACUAGUGAAUGUGUUUGUAGUGAGCUUGUGUGUGUUUGUGAGUGAGCUUGUCUGUGGUGAGCUUGUAUGUAUUUACCAAUGAGUUUAUCUAUGGAAAGUUUGUGUGUGUGUCAGUGAGUUUGUGUGAUUAUUAAUGUGGAUCAUGCUUUUAUAUGUAUAAUUUUCAGAACUGAUAUCGAUAUGCUGAUGUCAGCACGAGCAUGGAGGAUUGCCCUGGUUAGGUUAGGGAAGUUUCCCCAAGCAGGGCCAAUCACAACUGACAGGGGCGACCUGGAGAGUGGCGAUUACAGCACUGUAAAACCCAUGGAUCGUCUGAAACGAGAGGCUGCAGGUGUCAGAAUCUUACCUGGUAUGGAAUCCGACAUGCAGAGUUAAACACUCACCCUUGCAAAUAAACACAGACCAAGGUGACCUGGUAAGAAGCCACCUGGGCUGUGAGUAUAUGCACGGGGGCUGUGCAGGAAUAGUGCCCCAAUUCGCAGUACAGGCAAGGACAAGAAGAAGAGUAGUCACGGAAAGCCAAAGUCAGGGGAAGCCAGAGGUCAGAGGAAACAAUGAAAUAACCUAAGGUCGGAAGCAGUCUGGAGAACACUGGAUCAAGAUACACAAUAGGGAUGUGCAUGGGCAAAAAAUUAGGUUCCGUUUGGCACUUCCGAAAUUCGGGACUUUGGCAAUCCGGCACUUCGGCAAUCCAGGACUUCAGCAAUACGGGACUUUGGGAAUCCCCUAACCUUACCCCUAACCCUACCCCUAACAAUACCCCUCAGGGAGAAGCAGUGUCUUAUACCUGGCUAAUUAGGCAUCUGCUUCAGGUGGACUGAGAUUGACAGGAGCUGCCACAGGUAAAGUGCAACACCCUAGUGCUGGAGACAAGGCAAGGAUAAACAUCAGGCUUAAACAAGAACUGAAGUGUGGCUCAGAGGCAAAACAGCAGGCCCAGGACACAGAAGGAUCCAGGUUUCCCCCUGUUGGGCACUUCUGGCUUUCUGGAUGUAACGGUGAGAACUGUAACAGGAGGUAAGUAACAAUAAAUACACUGUCUGGCCAAAAAAAAAGUAGCCACCAAAAAAGGUCACACUCUCUAAUAUUUUGUUGGACCGCCUUUAGCUUUUAUUACUGCAUGCAUUUGCUGUGGCAUUGUUUCGAUAAGCUUCUGCAAUGUCACAAGAUGUAUCUCAGUCCAGUGUUGCAUUCAUUUUUCACCAAGAUCUUCUAUUAAUGAUAGGAGAGUCAGACCACUGCACAAAGCCUUCUCCAGCACAUCCCUAAGAUUCUCAAUGGGGUUAAGGUCUGGACCACAUGGUGGCCAAUCCAUGUGUGAAAAUGAUGUCUCAUGCUCCCUUAACCACUCUUUCACAAUUUGAACCUGAAGAAUCCUGGCAUUGUCAUGGAAUAUGCCCGUGCCAUCAGGGAAGAAAAAAAUCCAUUGGUGGAAUAACCUGGUCAUUCAGUUUACUCAGGUAGUCAGCUGACCUCAUUCUUUGGGCACCUAAUGUUGCUGAACCUAGACCUGACCAACUGCAGCAACCCCAGAUCAUAGCACUGCCCCCACAGGCUUGCACAGAAGGCACUAGGCAUGAUGGGUGCAUCACUUCAUCUGCCUCUCUUCUUACCCCGAUGCGCCCAUCACUAGUGGUUGCUCACUAUCCUUCCAGUUUUUAAUAAUGCGUUGGACAGUUCUUAACCCAAUUUUAGUAGUUUCUGCAAUCUCCUUAGAUGUUUUCUCUGCUCGAUAUAUGCCAAUGAUUUGGCCCUUCUCAAACAGACUAACAUCUUUCCCACGACAACGGGAUGUGUCUGUCGACAUGGUUGUUUAGGAAAUAAGAAGCUACUCAUUGCAUCAUUUGGGGUUAAAUAACUUGUUGCCAGCUGAAAGAUAAUUGCACAUGCAGUAACGAUCCAGUAGGAGGCUCUUACCUAUUUGCUUAGUUAAAUCCAGGUGGUGACUUUUGGCCAGGCAGUGUAUAUAGCAAUAAAAACCAUAAAUAUAUGAUUUAUCAGUGUGAUUUGUUAUAUAUUAAAAUGAACCUAUCAUGAGAGAUUUGCUUAAAAAAUUAUAAUAUAUAUACAUACAAAUUAAAAAUAAAUUGCACUCCAGGGACUUUAUCCAGCGUAUUCAAACUUAGCUUUUUUGCUCACAUAGAUAAAAAUCAGGAUAAGCAUACAGUGUAAACAUACAUCAAUAAAUACCAAAUACAAAAAUUACAUUAACUCACCCCACCAUGUGCUUGCUAUUCCGAGGACGCCCAGGCUGGACUGCACGCAAAGCACAACCGUCACAUGAUUACAUCACACCGCGUGAGUUCGUGCCUUGACGUCACUCGGCAUCAUUAUAAGUAUAUAUCAAAGAAUAAAAUUGCAAUUAGAAAAUUAUGUUCCUAAAAGCCCAGAUUAAUGUGAGCCGUGCUACUUGCACCUUGUUCAGUCUAAAUCAAACGGGUCAAACCCGUAUUAUCAAAAGUCGAUCGAAUGGAUCAGGCUUAGUAGUGGCAUGGGACAAGUUUAGUUGUAUGAACUUCACUCUUAAGUGGAUAGCUGACUUGAUUCACAUUCCGCAGGGGGUUCGAUCGCUGGAAGUGUUACAUGAUAUUUUGAAUCCUAUUUUAACCUUGACUCAAUAAAGCACUGAUUUUAUGGAUGACAGUGAGUGCAGCUACCUUUCUACUUCUCUCCAUACACACAUAUGUAUAUCUAUAUAUAUAGAGAGAGAGAGUUAAUAAAAUGUUAAACAAAAAUCUGCACACCAGUCAAGCCAUAAGACUAUGGGAACACAAAAAUAACACAUCCUAGAUCCGAAUGAAUUAAAUAUUCUUCUGAAAUACUUUGUUCUUUGCAUAGUUGAAUGUGCUUGUGAAAACAAAAUCACACAAAAAUUAAAAAAUAGAAAUCAAAUUUGUCAACCCAUGGAGGACUGGAUAUGGAGUCACACUCAAAAUUAAAGUGGAAAAACACACUACAGGCUGAUCCAGCUUUGAUGUAAUGUCCUUAAAACAAGUCAAAAUGAGGCUCAGUAGUGUGUGUGGCCUCCACGUGCCUGUAUGACCUCCCUACAACGCCUGUGCAUGCUCCUGAUGAGGUGGCGGAUGGUCUCCUGAGGGAUCUCCUCCUAGACCUGGACUAAAGCAUCUGCCAACUCCUGGACAGUCUGUUGGUGGAUGGAGCGAGACAUAAUGUCCCAGAUGUGCUCAAUUGGAUUCAGGUCUGGGGAACAGGCGGGCCAGUCCAUAGCAUCAAUGCCUUCGUAUUGCAGGAACUGCUGACACACUCCAGCCACAUGAGGAACCCAGGGCCAAUCGCACCAGCAUAUGGUCUCACAAGAGGUCUGAGGAUCUCAUCUCGGUACCUAAUGGCAGUCAGGCUACCUCUGGCAAGUACAUGAAGGGCUGUGCGGCCCCCCAAAGAAAUGCCACCCCACACCAUUACUGACCCACUGCCAAACCGGUUAUGCUGGAGGAUGUUGCAGGCAGCAGAAUGUUCUCCACGGCGUCUCCAGACUCUGUCACGUCUGUCACAUGUGCUCAGUGUGAACCUGCUUUCAUCUGUGAAGAGCACAGAGCACAGGUUCUCUGGAAAAUGCCAAACGUCCUGCACAGUGUUGAGCUGUAAGCACAACCCCCACCUGUGGACGUCGGGCCCUCAUACCACCCUCAUGGAGUCUGUUUCUGACCGUUUGAGCAGGCACAUGCACAUUUGUGGCCUGCUGGAGGUCAUUUUGCAGGGCUCUGGCAGUGCUCCUCUUGUUCCUCCUUGCACAAAGGCGGAGGUAGCGGUCCUGCUGCUGGGUUGUUGCCCUCCUAUGGCCUCCUCCACAUCUCCUGAUGUACUGGCCUGUCUCCUGGUAGCGCCUCCAUGCUCUGGACACUACGCUGACAGACACAGCAAACCUUCUUGCCACAGCUCGCAUUGAUGUGCCAUCCUGGAUGAGCUGCACUACCUGUAGCAGAGCGGCAAUAUUAAAUCCCACGAUCUCCGCUGGUACAGAAGGUAAUCCACAGUCAGCGCUGAAAAGUAAGGCAAUAUCCCAAAUCCCCCAGUAACCGGACGAGACACAGUUCUGGGAGUCAACUGAGGUUUUUAUUCACAGCAUCCAGUAUUUAUGCAAGUCCCCAUGCAAGGGGUUUCCCUACUGACAUAGCAGGGGUAAUACAGUAGGGGACUACAUGGGGGACUUCACAUUCCGACCUUUUCUCCCAUCAGGCACUGAUGCACGAGAGGGACACUCCCCCUGUUUGUUGUGGCAGGAUUUGUGUGCCGGCGGGGAGCCCGCAAGUGGAGGAGGUCGUGGACGGCGUCGUGGCGCAACCGCGCGAACGAGCCGUCAAGCGAGGCUGGAGGUGCAGGCUGCUGGUUCGGGAACCGAAUCGGAGACUGCCGAACGUUCGGGAGGUGAACGUGGAGGUAUGUGAACCAGCAAACUGGCGGAAACUGCCGAACGUUCGGGAGGCAAAUGUGGAGGUAGGCGAACUGGCGAAUGGGAGACAACUGCCGAACGUUCGGGAGCUGAACGUGGAGGUACUGUUACUGCCGGUUCCCGAGCGGGGAGGUGAAAGAACUGCCGAACGUUCCGGAGUUGAACGGGGAGGUAGCCAUACUGCCGGCCGUUCGGCUGCCGAACGUUCGGUUUUUGUGCCUUCUUUUGCAGAGAAUGAAGGAGAAGCGGCCGCAGGUGAUACGAGUCCUGGAAAGGGGCCUGGACAAGCACGGGCCAGUGGAAGAAGGAUGAGCGGUACAGCAGGCUUGGCAGCAGGUCACGGGAACGCUGGAAGCGCUGUUGGAGGAACAGGGACAACGGCUAUACACCGUCCGGGUGAGUCGACCUAUGACGCAAAUGCCCCACCAGUGGCUGGGCCAUGGGUUACCCCGGGGGUGGGCCCCGGUGUUGGCUUGGCUAGUGACGGCAGGGGGGGCAAGAGGCAGACAGGGGACGGCUAAGGCACGGAGUGGUACAGAGGGGUAUAGCGCAGCAAGACGGAACAGAGGGUCAUCGGGCAGUGGGCGGGAGCGCAGCGCUUCCCCUGGUUUUCCUAUACGACCGGGGAAGGGACGACGACAGGCGAGGCAGGUAGUUAGGGGAGGAUCGGAAGGGAGUGACAGCGACGAACAGCGCAGUAGGUUGGCACCAGCAAAGAUGACAGGGCGCAAGGCUAAAGCGAAGGGCGUGAAGCGCCGGAAGGAACCAGUCACAAAGCAGCCAUCGGAGGGUAGCUGACGUAGUUGACAGGGACCCCCGCGGGGUGGCCCACACCCGGGGAAGGCAUAGGGCGCCCCCUGUCGGUUCAAGGGGAUGGACGCAGCAGGACGGCAGUUCCACGAGCGGGAGUUCCCCGGAGAGGAGGCGGGCUGCUGUGCAGGCUCAUGACCCUCGGGGGGGGCGGCUAGCAGGGAGAUGGGGGACUGUUCCCAGGAUGAGAGGGGACGGGGCAGGGUUUCUACGGCCAGCCUACCCAGGAUGUCUUCUCCUUACAGGUUUCGAGGACGGUCACCCUCGGAGAGGGAGGGACCCCACGUGACAAGGACAAGCCCAGAUUAAUGUGAGCCGUGCUACUUGCACCUUGUUCAGUCUAAAUCAAACGGGUCAAACCCGUAUUAUCAAAAGUCGAUCGAAUGGAUCAGGCUUAGUAGUGGCAUGGGACAAGUUUAGUUGUAUGAACUUCACUCUUAAGUGGAUAGCUGACUUGAUUCACAUUCCGCAGGGGGUUCGAUCGCUGGAAGUGUUACAUGAUAUUUUGAAUCCUAUUUUAACCUUGACUCAAUAAAGCACUGAUUUUAUGGAUGACAGUGAGUGCAGCUACCUUUCUACUUCUCUCCAUACACACAUAUGUAUAUCUAUAUAUAUAGAGAGAGAGAGUUAAUAAAAUGUUAAACAAAAAUCUGCACACCAGUCAAGCCAUAAGACUAUGGGAACACAAAAAUAACACAUCCUAGAUCCGAAUGAAUUAAAUAUUCUUCUGAAAUACUUUGUUCUUUGCAUAGUUGAAUGUGCUUGUGAAAACAAAAUCAAACAAAAAUUAAAAAAUAGAAAUCAAAUUUGUCAACCCAUGGAGGACUGGAUAUGGAGUCACACUCAAAAUUAAAGUGGAAAAACACACUACAGGCUGAUCCAGCUUUGAUGUAAUGUCCUUAAAACAAGUCAAAAUGAGGCUCAGUAGUGUGUGUGGCCUCCACGUGCCUGUAUGACCUCCCUACAACGCCUGUGCAUGCUCCUGAUGAGGUGGCGGAUGGUCUCCUGAGGGAUCUCCUCCUAGACCUGGACUAAAGCAUCUGCCAACUCCUGGACAGUCUGUUGGUGGAUGGAGCGAGACAUAAUGUCCCAGAUGUGCUCAAUUGGAUUCAGGUCUGGGGAACAGGCGGGCCAGUCCAUAGCAUCAAUGCCUUCGUAUUGCAGGAACUGCUGACACACUCCAGCCACAUGAGGAACCCAGGGCCAAUCGCACCAGCAUAUGGUCUCACAAGAGGUCUGAGGAUCUCAUCUCGGUACCUAAUGGCAGUCAGGCUACCUCUGGCAAGUACAUGAAGGGCUGUGCGGCCCCCCAAAGAAAUGCCACCCCACACCAUUACUGACCCACUGCCAAACCGGUUAUGCUGGAGGAUGUUGCAGGCAGCAGAAUGUUCUCCACGGCGUCUCCAGACUCUGUCACGUCUGUCACAUGUGCUCAGUGUGAACCUGCUUUCAUCUGUGAAGAGCACAGAGCACAGGUUCUCUGGAAAAUGCCAAACGUCCUGCACAGUGUUGAGCUGUAAGCACAACCCCCACCUGUGGACGUCGGGCCCUCAUACCACCCUCAUGGAGUCUGUUUCUGACCGUUUGAGCAGGCACAUGCACAUUUGUGGCCUGCUGGAGGUCAUUUUGCAGGGCUCUGGCAGUGCUCCUCUUGUUCCUCCUUGCACAAAGGCGGAGGUAGCGGUCCUGCUGCUGGGUUGUUGCCCUCCUAUGGCCUCCUCCACAUCUCCUGAUGUACUGGCCUGUCUCCUGGUAGCGCCUCCAUGCUCUGGACACUACGCUGACAGACACAGCAAACCUUCUUGCCACAGCUCGCAUUGAUGUGCCAUCCUGGAUGAGCUGCACUACCUGUAGCAGAGCGGCAAUAUUAAAUCCCACGAUCUCCGCUGGUACAGAAGGUAAUCCACAGUCAGCGCUGAAAAGUAAGGCAAUAUCCCAAAUCCCCCAGUAACCGGACGAGACACAGUUCUGGGAGUCAACUGAGGUUUUUAUUCACAGCAUCCAGUAUUUAUGCAAGUCCCCAUGCAAGGGGUUUCCCUAUUGACAUAGCAGGGGUAAUACAGUAGGGGACUACAUGGGGGACUUCACAUUCCGACCUUUUCUCCCAUCAGGCACUGAUGCACGAGAGGGACACUCCCCCUGUUUGUUGUGGCAGGAUUUGUGUGCCGGCGGGGAGCCCGCAAGUGGAGGAGGUCGUGGACGGCGUCGUGGCGCAACCGCGCGAACGAGCCGUCAAGCGAGGCUGGAGGUGCAGGCUGCUGGUUCGGGAACCGAAUCGGAGACUGCCGAACGUUCGGGAGGUGAACGUGGAGGUAUGUGAACCAGCAAACUGGCGGAAACUGCCGAACGUUCGGGAGGCAAAUGUGGAGGUAGGCGAACUGGCGAAUGGGAGACAACUGCCGAACGUUCGGGAGCUGAACGUGGAGGUACUGUUACUGCCGGUUCCCGAGCGGGGAGGUGAAAGAACUGCCGAACGUUCCGGAGUUGAACGGGGAGGUAGCCAUACUGCCGGCCGUUCGGCUGCCGAACGUUCGGUUUUUGUGCCUUCUUUUGCAGAGAAUGAAGGAGAAGCGGCCGCAGGUGAUACGAGUCCUGGAAAGGGGCCUGGACAAGCACGGGCCAGUGGAAGAAGGAUGAGCGGUACAGCAGGCUUGGCAGCAGGUCACGGGAACGCUGGAAGCGCUGUUGGAGGAACAGGGACAACGGCUAUACACCGUCCGGGUGAGUCGACCUAUGACGCAAAUGCCCCACCAGUGGCUGGGCCAUGGGUUACCCCGGGGGUGGGCCCCGGUGUUGGCUUGGCUAGUGACGGCAGGGGGGGCAAGAGGCAGACAGGGGACGGCUAAGGCACGGAGUGGUACAGAGGGGUAUAGCGCAGCAAGACGGAACAGAGGGUCAUCGGGCAGUGGGCGGGAGCGCAGCGCUUCCCCUGGUUUUCCUAUACGACCGGGGAAGGGACGACGACAGGCGAGGCAGGUAGUUAGGGGAGGAUCGGAAGGGAGUGACAGCGACGAACAGCGCAGUAGGUUGGCACCAGCAAAGAUGACAGGGCGCAAGGCUAAAGCGAAGGGCGUGAAGCGCCGGAAGGAACCAGUCACAAAGCAGCCAUCGGAGGGUAGCUGACGUAGUUGACAGGGACCCCCGCGGGGUGGCCCACACCCGGGGAAGGCAUAGGGCGCCCCCUGUCGGUUCAAGGGGAUGGACGCAGCAGGACGGCAGUUCCACGAGCGGGAGUUCCCCGGAGAGGAGGCGGGCUGCUGUGCAGGCUCAUGACCCUCGGGGGGGGCGGCUAGCAGGGAGAUGGGGGACUGUUCCCAGGAUGAGAGGGGACGGGGCAGGGUUUCUACGGCCAGCCUACCCAGGAUGUCUUCUCCUUACAGGUUUCGAGGACGGUCACCCUCGGAGAGGGAGGGACCCCACGUGACAAGGACAGCAGAACAGUCGCCGGCAUGCAAGGCGGACCCGGUUACAGGACAGGCAUCUUCCAGGUCCCCCGCGGAUCAGGUGAGACCCAGCGCAUCAGGAGCAUGGCCCGGAGCAGCGGGACUCUUGGGGCAGGAGAUCCACGAUCGGUCAGCAACCCCACGGCCUUCGGCGGCAAGGGGUGCGGAAUGUGAGACAUGGUCGUUGCAACAGUCGGGGGAGCUGCUAGAUGACAUUAGGCAGUUAAUUGAUUCCUGGGGUGUAGGGAGAAGGAAGGAUGGUGAGUGCAGUCAGGUUUGGGCUUGGGUAGGAGAGGUCUCAGGGGCUUGUCCGGUGAGGGUUUCUGGGGCCGGAGGCAGCACAGUUGGGGACGGGGUGCGACCCCCACAGUAGAGGCGCCCGGGUUGGCGAGUGAGAGGGAGAGCUUAUCGGGGGCGGUAUGGCGGUAUGAUGAGCAGUUUCGUCAGCGCCUGGCUGCUAAUCUGGGGAUGCGGUGGGGUUAGUUUUGCGAGUAUCCGCAUACUCAUCCGCCAACUUGGCGGCCUCUGGUAGAGACAGGGGCCUGCGGUCUCUCACCCAGUCUUUGACAUCCGCCUGGAUAUGGUUGUAAAACUGUUCCAGGAGUAUCAGUUGCAAAAUCUCCUCCGCGGGGGCGGCCUGUCUACUGUUAACCCAGUUCGAGGCCGACAGGGAUAACUGGCAUGCCCAUUCCACGUAGGAAUCUUUAGCGGUUUUGCGUGAGUCCCUGAACUUCUGUCGGUAGGACUCUGGGGUUACUGCAUAACGGGCCAGGAGUGCUUCUUUAACCCUGGCGUAGCUAUGGAUCUCCUGUUCUGGUACAGCCCGGAAAGCAUCAGAGGCUUUGCCUGACAGCUUUCCUGACAAUAUUGAAACCCAUUCUUCCUUAGCUAUCCGGUGCAGGUUACAUUGCCGCUCAAAAUCUGCUAAAUAGUUAUCAAUCUCACAGUCUUUUUCGUCAAAAGCUUUAAAAGCGCUGAACGGAAUUUUCUUUGUAUCCGCUGUGUUGUACUCACUGUUUGGGAAGUGUGCUGCUGCCUGCUGGACCACUGCCAGUUUUAAUUGUAGCUCUGUGUCUCUUUUUUGAAGAAACCGUAAGUCAGAUUGCGUAUUAGUACUUUUCAAUAAUAUAGACAUAUAUUAUUGUGGCGAGCAUUUGGCACAAGACUAUAUAUACAAAAGACGUAUAUAUAUCAAUCAUCUAGAUUUUACAUUGGCUAGCCUGCCUGUCUUCUAUUCAAGUUUUGUUCCCACUUCAAGGGGGGAGAGAGAAGAAUCAAGUUACAAAGCUAUUUUGGAACUGGGAAAACAAACUUGAAGAGAAAAAAAGAAUUUAGACUGACUGUCAUAGAAGAACUGUGGUUUGUAAGAAAAAGAGUUUUCAAAUCACAAAGACUGUACAAGACUAUUUUCUACAACUGAGACAAAAAGCACAAGAUACAACAUGAAUUCUAGAAGCAAGCACGUGGCAGAGAUUGGCAAGCGUCCAGAAUCAAGCCCAGAACUGCGCAGCUGUGUGGAUGAAGCAACGAAAUAGACAGAGAUAACUGAUCUGGUAAAGGGUGACAAAUCCAUGUGGCAAUAAAUCAGGAAAGCAUGCCUUCAGACUACUGGACAUCGACUGUUGGAAAGAGACUUUUCAUCUGAUCUGCAAACUGUAAUGUAAGAUUCUACAGAGUUCAUUUGAUACAGAAGAUUAACAGACUUAAAAAGAAAUAAAAGAUUGACACUAACAUAAAUAUUAAUUUCUAAAUAUUAACGAAGAAAACAGACAAUGAAAAGUUAUUGAACAGUUAUGAGUAUUAAUACCAAAAGAGACUACUUAUAGCUAUAUAACACAUGGAGUACAAUUACGAAAGGAUAGUAUUAUAAAAAUAACUAUUACAUUAUUAUCUAUACAUAGGAUGAGAAGUAUGAGAGGUAGAUAAAAUAUGAAGUUGAUAAAAUAAGGAUCAUGGUUACUUAAUUCUACAAAGAUUUAGUUCAAUAGGAUUUCAUAGAUUAAUUAUAAUAAUUAAUUUGUUUAUAUCGAGGUGAAGCAAAACAAACAAUGGUAACAUAAGGAAGAAAACUAGAGAAGGAUAAUUUAUAUUGAUUAAUAUUAAGUAAUUAUAUACAUUAAGAAUGCUUUGGAUAUGAGUUCAGAGUUCCAAGAGGAAUUGAAUUGGUUUAGUUAAGAGUAUAGUACAUGAUUAUAUUUGACCUAAGUCUAUAAAGGUAUGGACUAGGGAGAAUAGGUUUCUGGAUAUGAUGGUAUCCAAUGAAUACGUUGUUAUAAGUUGUUUUUUGAUUACCCUGAGUUUGUUAGACACAGACUAGGAAUAAGAGUUUCUGGGCAGUAUGACCCCAAGUUUUGUUUAUUUUAUUUUAGUCAGUUGAAGUGUACUAAGGAAUACGGAUUGGUCAGAACAUUAGGACAAUCCUGCUUUUAAGAUGUAUUACAUUAAUAAGUCAUCACAAUGCUAAUGAAGAGAGUUGUGAUAAUUAAUUUACAUUAUUCUUUCCAAGUUAUUUUAAAGUAAACUAUGUUUCUAUUGAAUGAAAAGUUUGUUACUACAAGGUAGAAUAGUAGUCAAAAUUAUAAUUAUGUAAACAAAAACAAAUCUAUGAUAGAAAGAUUUCUGGGUGGAGAAUUUCUAGAACAAUAAGUAUUGUCAACACCAUGAACAUUAUUUGAAGAAUUAUUAUAGAACUUCAUGGUUGAUAACACAUCCUUUGAAUGAGACUUGUAAGUAGUGUUGAUAUAUUUCAGGUAGUGAGAGCCUACUGAAUAUACAAAUUAAAUACUAUGAUUGUAAAGUACUGAUACAAUUAUCACUAGGUGGUAUUAAUGGUAUAGGAAUGUAAUUCAUGAAUACAAAUGACCUAAAGAUUUUAAGGUUGCUAGAAACCAUAUGAUUCAUGGAAAUCUAAUUGGACAGGAUAUUAUAGUAAUACAUGUAUUAGAAUUUUAGUAAUAUCAGGUAUUGAGAAUGAAAAUACUAUACUAUAUAUGUGUCUGUAGGAAUAUGAUAGUGAAACACAGUUAUUAUUAUUUAGAAAGUUAUCAUCUUGAUUUUGUUAUCUACAAAGAUACGACUGUACCAGAGCAGGUAGAUCUUUCUGAUUGCUUUAUUGUUUAUUGGAUCAACAUUUGUAAAUAUUGUAUUCAUUUAUUAUUGUUAUAUAUAUGUAUAUAUUAUGUUCAAGUAGUUAUGAUGUAAUAUGGAUAUGGAUAUCAAUACAUAGCUGAAACAGAGGGAGUUUUGAAGUAAAGUAAGCAGUAUGAGGGAUAGAAACUCGACCUUCCAAGAACUCUCAUAUAAUAGAAAGUUGUGACUACAUCUUGUUCUAUGUUCAAUGACUGUGAUACAAGUGAUGUAUGAAUGGACAGGUUAGUGACAUUGUGUUAUGGUUGUAAGACAAACCAUAAACAGAGGGAAUGUAGAAUAUUGCAUAUCCUAUGGUUCUAUUGAUUAUAUAUGGAUGUGUGGAUUGACAUAAGUAACAGAUGGUAUAAGUCACAAGGCUUUCUUUGUCCGUGUAGCGUUACUUACCUUAACCGGGGGCCGGUCGCGGUCCUCUCUUCAAGCCGCGCGCGGUCCUGCGGCUGCACGAGCCGCGCGCGGCUCAUCCAGCUACCUCGGAUGGACGGCGGGCAGUGACCGCGUGAGGCGGUCACGUGUCCCGCCUGAAUCUAAGAGCGCGCCGCGAGUCUCGGGCGUGCUCUUAAAGGGACAGUGGGUGCCUAAAUUGGAAAAGGCAUCCCAUUGGUCCCUGUCAUGCCACACUCCCCAUACACUUACCUUUUGGGGGCGUGGAUAUGACAGGGACCAAUCAAAUUAGAUGUUUAGGUAUUUAUACUCACCUUCUUCCCUUUGUUCCUUGCCCUAUCGUGGUUUCUGUUUCAGUUCCCUUUAGCGCUUGUGGUGUUCAGUUGUGUUUUCUCGUAUUGACUUUGGCUUCGUAUUCUGACUUCGUUUUCGCUUUAUCCUUAUCUGUACUGUUUGCCGGCUUGCUGUUUUCCGUGUACCAGACCCCGGCUUGUCCUAGUUUACGCUGUCUCUCUGUGCCCUUGACCUCGGUUUGUUUCUGGCUCUGUCUUCUCUCAUAUACGUCAAGUCCGGCCAUUCUAAGGUCCGGUAGACGUAUCUCUCCUCUGUAUUUGCCUCUGUUUAGCUGGAUCCUGCGUGUAGGGGUAUAUUCUCGUUACAUUACGAUAGGGCCAUGGACCCCGCAGAUUUAGCUCAACAGAUGGCGUCCCAUGAGGCAAGAUUUGUAGAGCAGGACCACCGUAUGGAUCAAAUAGCUCAGGCUCUCCAGACGCUCCUAGCUAGAACCGUUCCAGCAACUACACCUAACCCUCCUACGCCCCUUCUCCCUGAAGUAUCUACUUUGCCUAAUACUUCGGCCCAUUUAACACCUCCUCCUAGGUAUGGAGGGGACUCUAAGACUUGCAGAGGGUUUAUUAAUCAAAUUGAAUUCCACUUUGAAAUGUAUCCACGUUCAUUUCCCACAGAGAGGUCUAAGGUUGGGUUCUUUAUGCACCAACUUACCGAUAAGGCACUUGAGUGGGCAAAUCCUAUUUGGGAAGCUAAUGGGCCUAUGGUACAUGAUUUCAACAGUUUUCUUACGGCUUUUCGUAGAACUUUUGACACAAUGAAAAGGUCAAAGAAUGCCGCAAGAGCAUUAAUGAGAAUUAAACAGGGUUCUAGGUCUGUAGCUGAUUAUGCUAUUCAGUUUCGCACUCUUGCUUCGCAGGUAGAUUGGACCAACAAUGGGUUAACUACUGCCUUUAUGGAAGGUUUGUCAGAUACGAUAUUGGAUGAGGUAGCAGCUAAGGAGCUUCCUAUUGCCUUAGAGGACCUUAUCGAUUACCUCAUUGAUAUAGAUAAUAGAAUUCGUGACAGGCUCUAUACCAAGAACAGGAAUAGACGUUUUGUUACACCCAUUAACCCCAGAGUUAAUCUACCAGAGAGUGUUAAAGUGUCUGAGGAGGAACCUAUGCAAUUAGGGGUUGCCAAACUCUCUGAUACUGAGAAAUUACAUAGGAGAAGGGAGGGACUCUGCCUAUACUGUGGUAGGAGAGACCAUAUGGUAAAGGAAUGUCCUUUACUCCCGGAAAACUCUCGCACCUAAGACCUUAUAGGGGACUGGCCUUGGGUGUGAUAUCUAAGUCUCCUAAAUUGCCUCCUAACCGCUUGCUUCUCCCGGUUUCUUUAUAUAUGGGAGAGUUUUGUAUAGUUGACGACAUAUAUGCUCUGGUUGACUCUGGGGCAGCUGAAAAUUUUAUAGACUCUGGCUUUAUAAAGAGAAACAACAUUCCCAUCAGAGAGAAGGAGAUACCCUUGGCCGUUGAGGCCAUAGAUGGUAGACCAUUAAGUUCUCCAGUUGUUACUCAUGAGACUGAACCACUACACAUGUACACAGGGGUUUUACACUACGAAACCAUUCGAUUCCAGGUUAUCACCUCUCCCUCUUCACAGUUAGUAUUAGGGUAUCCAUGGUUACGUGCUCACAAUCCCAUUUUUGACUGGGAGACAGGGCAAAUAAAAUCAUGGAGUAAGGCCUGCCACGAGUCUUGUACGUUGGAAGUCACACCUUUGAAUUCUAUUGAGGUACCUACCAGUCCUCCUUUGUCUAUGGUUAUACCCCCUCAGUAUUUAUCUCUAAAGACUGUUUUCGAUAAAAGGGAGGCUGAGAAAUUACCGCCUCACAGACCCUAUGAUUGCGCUAUUGACUUGUUGCCUGGCACUAUACCUCCAAAGGGCAGGGUGUACCCCUUAUCGGUUCAAGAAAACCGUGUCAUGGAGGAGUACAUCAAGGAAUCAUUAGAAAAAGGGUUUAUUAGGAGAUCCUCUUCUCCAGCUGGAGCAGGGUUCUUCUUUGUAUCGAAGAAAGAAGGUGAUUUAAGACCGUGUAUAGAUUAUAGAGGUCUAAACAAAAUCACUAUCAAAAAUGCAUACCCUAUACCUUUGAUUACAGAAUUAUUUGACAGGCUGAAACAUGCCACUGUGUUCACUAAAUUAGACCUUAGGAAUGCAUACAAUUUGAUACGUAUAAAGGAAAAUCACGAAUGGAAGACUGCAUUCAACACUAGAUCCGGUCAUUACGAAUACACUGUUAUGCCAUUUGGGCUUUGCAAUGCCCCAGCAGUAUUCCAAGAAUUUAUUAAUGAUGUAUUGAGAGAUUUUAUUCACACAUUUGUUAUCGUAUACUUGGACGACAUUUUAAUAUAUUCUGCAGAUAUAGACACUCAUCACAGACAUGUUACGACAGUUUUGAAGACCCUUCUUGCUAAUGGUCUUUAUUGCAAGCUAGAAAAAUGUCUGUUUGACCAAACCGAAGUCCAGUUCUUGGGGUAUUUGAUUUCCGCUAAAGGUUUUCGUAUGGAUCCCCAGAAGCUAGCUGCUGUAAUAGAAUGGCCUCUACCGCAAGGUCUGAAAGCUAUUCAGCGUUUUCUUGGGUUCUCCAAUUAUUAUAGACGUUUUAUCAAAGGUUUCUCGUCCAUUGUAGCACCUAUUACCCGUAUGACUAAAAAGGAUGGCAAUACUCGUGUUUGGUCUACCGAGGCACUUCAGGCUUUUGAAUUUCUUAAAACUACGUUCGCCUCUGCACCUAUUUUACAGCAUCCUGUCCCCUCACUGCCCUAUAUUCUUGAAGUUGAUGCUUCGGAUAUUGGGGUAGGUGCUGUCUUGUCCCAAAGAGAGUCGCCUGAGAAGCCAUUGCAUCCAUGCGGCUUCUUUUCUAAACAAAUGUCCAAAGCAGAGAAAAAUUAUGAUGUGGGUAAUCGUGAACUCCUUGCUAUUAUUUUAGCACUUAAAGAGUGGAGACAUUUGUUAGAGGGAACUAAGGAUCCUAUCCUCAUUUUUACGGAUCACAAGAACCUAUCCUAUCUUAGCGAAGCCAAAAGAUUGUCUUCCAGGCAGGCUAGGUGGUCACUAUUUUUGUCUCGUUUCAAUUUUAUUAUCACCUAUAGGCCAGGUGAUCGCAACACUAAAGCAGACGCUCUGUCCAGACAGUUCGAAACUACUGACAAACAGGAGAUUGAUGUUACUCCUGUCAUUCCCCCAGACAGGAUAAUAGCUACUACUGUUUUGUCUAUUUCCUCGUCCCUCUUGCAGACCAUACAAGCGAAACAAAGCAUGGCACCUAGCGAGAGGCCUAAUGAUAAACUGUUCGUUGAUGUUCCUGAGAGACAAGAUAUUAUGUCAUUAUAUCAUGAUACUAAGACCGCUGGACAUCCUGGUAUUUCCAAAACGGUGUCAGCUGUUUCUCGGUAUUUUUGGUGGGAUUCCUUACGAAAGGAUGUCACUGACUAUAUAAGUGCUUGUACUACUUGUGCCUGUAUGAAAUCCUCCCGUAGAGUUCCUUGUGGGCUGUUGCAUCCGUUACCCGUUCCCGAGAGACCUUGGUCUAACCUGUCCAUGGAUUUUAUUGUUGAAUUACCCCCUUCAAAUGGUAACACAGUAAUCCUGAUGAUAGUGGAUCGGUUCUCCAAAAUGGCUCACUUCGUGUCUCUUCGCAAGUUGCCCACAUCUAAGGAACUGGCUCAUAUCUUCGCUAGAGAAGUAUUUCGAUUACAUGGGAUUCCCAUAUCUAUUGUAUCCGAUAGGGGUAGCCAAUUUAUAUCCAGGUUCUGGAGGGCCUUUUGCUCAGAAAUGGGUAUUUCUCUCUCAUUUUCUUCCGCUUAUCAUCCCCAGUCUAAUGGGGCUGCUGAACGUGCCAACCAGUCUCUGGAGCAAUACCUCCGUUGUUUUGUGUCUCACCAUCAGGACAAUUGGUCUGACCUGCUUCCUUGGGCUGAAUUUGCUCGGAAUAACGCCACUCAUGAUUCUUCCGGCAAGAGCCCUUUUUACGUUGUCUAUGGCCAGCAUCCCGUUGUUCUUCCGGCUGCAUUCUCCUCACAGGGCAUGCCAGUUCUGGAUGAGCAUUUGGCUGGUUUGCGUAAUACUUGGGAGCAGGUUCAGCGUUCUUUGGUGGACUCUGCUACUCGCCAGAAGGCUCAGGCUGACAAGCAUCGCAGAGCAGCUCCGUCCUAUGUUGUGGGGGACAGGGUUUUGCUUUCCACGCGGAAUAUUCGUCUCCGGGUGCCUUCUAUGAAAUUGGCUCCCCGCUUCAUUGGACCUUAUCGUAUUAUACAUAAGGUUAAUCCUGUUUCUUAUGCCUUAGGCCUGCCUAAGAAUCUACGUAUUCCUAAUGUUUUUCACACCUCAUUGUUGAAACCUUUCGUACGCAACCGCUAUACCCGGCAUACUCCUCCUCCCCCUCCUAUCUCGGUGGAGGGUCAUGAGGAGUUUGAAGUGUCUGCUGUUCUUGACUCUCGUUUCCUUAGGGGUCGACUUCAGUACUUGGUACAUUGGAAGGGUUAUGGGCCUGAGGAGCACAGUUGGAUUUCGGCUGAUGCUGUCCAUGCUCCCCGUCUUGUGCGCUCUUUCCAUUCUCGUUUUCCUGCCAGGCCUGGUCCUACCCGCCCGGGGGGCGUGUCCUCAGGGGGGGGUACUGUAGCGUUACUUACCUUAACCGGGGGCCGGUCGCGGUCCUCUCUUCAAGCCGCGCGCGGUCCUGCGGCUGCACGAGCCGCGCGCGGCUCAUCCAACUACUUCGGAUGGAGGGCGGGCAGUGACCGCGUGAGGCGGUCACGUGUCCCGCCUGAAUCUAAGAGCGCGCCGCGAGUCUCGGGCGCGCUCUUAAAGGGACAGUGGGUGCCUAAAUUGGAAAAGGCAUCCCAUUGGUCCCUGUCAUGCCACACUCCCCAUACACUUACCUUUUGGGGGCGUGGAUGUGACAGGGACCAAUCAAAUUAGAUGUUUAGGUAUUUAUACUCACCUUCUUCCCUUUGUUCCUUGCCCUAUCGUGGUUUCUGUUUCAGUUCCCUUUAGCGCUUGUGGUGUUCAGUUGUGUUUUCUCGUAUUGACUUUGGCUUCGUAUUCUGACUUCGUUUUCGCUUUAUCCUUAUCUGUACUGUUUGCCGGCUUGCCGUUUUCCGUGUACCAGACCCCGGCUUGUCCUAAGUUUACGCUGUCUCUCUGUGCCCUUGACCUCGGUUUGUUUCUGGCUCUGUCUUCUCUCAUAUACGUCAAGUCCGGCCAUUCUAAGGUCCGGUAGACGUAUCUCUCCUCUGUAUUUGCCUCUGUUUAGCUGGAUCCUGCGUGUAGGGGUAUAUUCUCGUUACAGUCCGAGAGAUCUGGAAUGUGGAUGUGGGGGUCUUGUCCUUAUAUGGCUAGAGUUAAACGCUGACGUUAGUAUGAGCACUUCUUUAUAGUGACAGAGGACACAAGGUCACUCUCUCUUGGCUUGGCUCUUGGCUCUGUACAACGAUGUAACUCUCCCAUCAGAAGUACAGCAAUUACCAUCUGCUGUUGAAUGUCCAUUAUCCUGUAACAUCCUUUAUUAUGUUUUAUUAUGUAUCCGUAACUAAGAAUAAACCUGAAGAAACCGUAAGUCAGAUUGCGUAUUACUACUUUUCAAUAAUAUAGACAUAUAUUAUUGUGGCGAGCAUUUGGCCCAAGACUAUAUAUACAAAAGACGUAUAUAUAUCAAUCAACUGAAGAUAAGAAGAAAUUAAGAAGAUUCAACAUUAACAUUAUUCCAAAUUACAUUUUACACUUUUAGAAACAUAGAAACAUAGAAUGUGACGGCAGAUAAGAACCCUACGGCCCAUCUAGUCUGCCCAAUUUUCUAAAUACUUUCAUUAGUCCCUGGCCUUAUCUUAUAGUUAGGAUAGCCUUAUGCCUAUCCCAUGCAUGCUUAAACUCCUUUACUGUGUUAACCUCAACCACUUCAGCUGCAAGGCUAUUCCAUGCAUCCACUACCCUCUCAGUAAAGUAAUACUUCCUGAUAGGUCUCUUCGAAUUUUCCCGCUUCUUAGGAGAAGCAUUCUUCCAACCCCUUUUUGGCAUGUGGAUUGUCUUCACGCACCUUUUUUACUUUCUAUUCUUUUACUUAUGCCUCAGUAAUCGUUAAUUCUUUCCAUCGGUGUAUACUUUCUGUAUUUACCCUUUUCCUGCCGUUAGGCUAUGUUGUUUCUUUCAAGGUUCGUGCCUUCUCCUCACACAUUACGCUUCAUAAGAGUCAAGCCCACGCCUAGGGAAAGAGAACUGGCUUAUAUGUUUCAGGGCACAUGCAAAAUCUACGUGCCCCUCCAAGCUCUUUCCCAAGAAAUCACUUACGGAGGUUAAUUUGGAGAAUCUAAGCUAUCACUUACGCUUCCACCCCUCACCCCACUUGGUGGAAUUCUUGGUUUCUGGUUUUUCCAUAGGUUUUCACACAGGUCUAAUGGCUCUUCCUUCAGGCACACUGGAAUGCCCCAAUUUGUUAUAAGCUUAUUCCAAUCCCUUAACAGUAGAUACUCUACUGGAAAAAGAAGUCAAUCUAGGUUUUGUAUUUGGCCCGUUCUCUCAUCCACCAUUUUCAGUCAUGGCGCACGAAUCGCAUCAGUGGUGUGUCUCACAAAUCUUUUUUUUUUUCUUUAAAGUCUUAUCAUUGAUCUUUCUGUUGCUCAUUCCUCACACACACCAAGCAUAAGCUCUCUCAUCCCUGCUGUAGAAUUAGAGUCCGGCUGCUGCAGCUUUGAAGAUUUUAAGGGUUUUUCAAUUGAAUCCUUAAAGUGCCAUAUAAUUUUUAAUCAGGUAGGUGAUUCACACACACGCCCACAAACACAUGCUUCCUUGCAGCCAAUCAGGGAGCACCUUAGAUUAUAUAAACCUGUUUUGUCCAUUUCUCUGUGCCCUGUCGUGGUUUCCAUUGUGGUUAUCCGAGAGCACGUUCCUGGUAUUGAUUCUAGUGUAUUUGACCUUGGCUUUCCUUCUGACUAUCCAAUCUCUGUAUUCCUUGACCUUUGGCUUGGCUCCUGACUAUUCUGAUAUCUCCAUUCCUUGACUCGUGGCUUGUUCAUCGUUUACAUUAUUUCUUGUGUUUUUUUCCUUUAUAUGUUAAAUCCGGCCAUUCUAAGCCCCGGUAAUAUGUCUUAGGAAUUUUCUUCAUAUCUACUUAAAGGGACACUCGAGGCACCCAGACCACUUCUGCCCAUUGGAGUGGUCUGGGUGCCAACUCCCACCACCCUUAACCCUGCAAGUGUAACUAUUGCAGUUUUCAUAAACUGCAAUAUUUACAUUGCAGGGUUAAGUCUUCCUCUAGUGGCUGUCUACUAGACAGCCACUAGAGGAGACUUCCGUGUUCAUAGAACACAAAAAGUGUUUUAAAACGACGCUGGACGUCCUCACGCUAUGUAAGGACCUCCAGCAUUGCUGAAAUCCCAUAGGAAAACAUUGUAUAAUGCUUUCCUAUGGGGAGGUCUAAUGUGCGUGCGUGGCCAUUGCCGCGCAUGCGCAUUAGGUCUCUCCUGCCGAUGGCUGCGGCAGGCUGACGUCAGAGGGGGAGGAGCAUGGGCAGACAUCGGCGCUGGACUCUCGUAAGUCACUGGAGGGGUUUUAACUCCUUCAGCAACUUGGGAUGGGGGAUUGGAGGUAGAGGGGAACUAGAGGGUGUCAAGAAAAUAGUGUCAAGAAAAUAAAUAUGUUUUCCUGGCACUGGAGAAUUCCUUUAAGUUCUGCGUGUUGGACAUCAGCUAUUCCUGACAUUACGACAGGGCCAUGGACCCUGCAGACUUAAGUAAACAGGUGUCAUCUUGCGAAUCUAAGCUGGAGUAACAUGAUCACCGCAUGGAUCAGUUUGCCCAGGCCUUUCAGACAUUAUUGGCUCGCACUGCACACCUCCAAUCGGACACACCCUCUGCCCAGGCUUCACAACAUGCCGCUGUGGCAGUAUCCAGUGGUCAAAGGGCUCCGACUAUAAGACUAUCCCCUCCACCUAGAUUCAGUGGUGAUUCCCAGGAGUGUAGGGGUUUUAUAAACCAGAUAUAAUACCACUUUGAGGCAUCUCCAGGUUCUUUACCUUCUGACAGGGCUAAGAUCGGAUACUUAAUGAAUCAGCUAUCCGGUAAAGCUCUUGUCUGGGCUAAUCCCUUAUGGGAGAGUGGGAGAAUCAUAGUUUACAACUACAUGGAAUUCAUCACUGAAUUCAAGAGAUCUUUUGAACCCCCUGAAAAAGUUAAAAAGACAGCCAAGGCGUUAAUGCAGAUAAAACAGGGCAAUAGAUCCGUUGCGGAUUAUGCCAUAGAAUUCCGCGUGCUGGCGGCCGAGGUAGAUUGGACUAACAGCGGUUUGGUAACUGCUUUCUCGGAAGAUCUCUCUGAGGCUUUAUUAGAUGAAACAGCGGCUAAGUAUCUUCCGGAUUUGCUAGAAGACUAUAUUGUAUUGUAUAUUGUAUAUAUGAUGGACUGCCUUAGGGAGAGGGCUAAAACCAGGACACAGACUGUCCAUACCCCUGUUCCCUCAGCUCCUUGUAUGGCUCCAUCUGCUCCUGCAGUUGCCAUCGAAUCCAAACCUAUGCAACUGGGAGUGAUAAAGCUGUCAGAAGCUGAGAAACAAAACCAUAGGGCUGCGGGUUUAUGCCUGUAUUGUGGUAAAAAGGGGCAUCUGCGUCUAAAUUGCCCAAUACAUCCGGAAAACCCCUGCACCUAAGCACUGUUAGCGGACCAGGCUUAGGUGUUAUGAAAUCGUCCUCUACCUUGCCUCACAACCGAUUCCUCCUAUCUGUAGUAUUAUCUUAGGGUGCUCUUAACAUACCUUGUAAAGCUCUUAUCGAUUCAGGAGCUGCUGAAAGCUUCAUUGACAAGAAAUUUGUGAACAACCUUCUUGUUCCCCUGAGGGAGAGAUCCACACCUUUGGCCGUUGAGGCCAUAGAUGGUAGACCCCUUCUGACACCACUUAUAACCCAUGAGACCCUUCCGUUAUCCUUGUCUGUUGGAAUACUGCAUAGAGAAAACAUAGCUCUACAGGUUAUUUCAACUCCUUCAUGUCCUGUCAUUCUCUGAUUUCCCUGGUUGGUAAAACAUAAUCCGGUCUUAGAUUGGGUUAAGGGUGGUACUACCUGCAAAGAACGAUGUCGUCUCCCAGUUAAACCUAUAGGUCGUAUCAAUGUACCCACUACGGCUCCCUUAUCCACAGUGGUCCCUCUUUAACAUACAUCCAUGUUAAAGAAGUAUUUAACAAAACCAAUGCUGAGACGUUACCCCCGCUCUGACCUUAUGACUGUGCCAUUGACCUUCUUCCAGGUCACCUAAAGGACGGGUGUAUCCUCUAUCCCCCCAUGAGAGUGAAAUCAUGGAAGAGUAUGUCCAGGAUGCUCUUGCCAAGGGUUUCAUACCUAGGUCUUCCUCUCCUGCAGGUGCAGGAUCCUUCUUUGUGUCUAAGAAAGAGGGAGACCUGCGACCGUACAUCGAUUAUAGAGGCCUUAACAAGAUCACUAUAAGGAACAGAUACCCAAUUCCUCUUAUCACAGAACUAUUCAAUAGACUUAAGGGGGCUACUGUGUUUACAAAAUUAGACCUCAGGAGUACAUAUAAUCUGGUCAAGAUAAAAUAAAAUCAUGAAUGGAAAACCGCGUUUAAUACAAGGAGUAGACAUUCCGAAUAUCUCAUAAUGCCUUUUGGAUUGUGCAAUGCUCUGGCGGUUUUCCAAGACCUGAUUAAUGAUGUCUUAAGGGAAUACAUUAAUUUUUGUGUUCCAGUCUAUCUAGACGACAUCCUUGUUUAUUCCCCAGACAUUACUACCCACUACAUUCAUGUAUCUCAAGUACUUACAACACUGUUACGCAAUGGUUUAUAUUGUAAAAAAAGAAAAAUGUUUUUUCCUCCAGACAGAGGUACAAUUCUUGGGCUACAUUAUUUCAGCCAAGGGUUUUGAAAUGGAUCCCAAAACACUUGAGGUGGUCUUGCAAUGGCCCAGACCUAAAGGUCUUAAAGCCAUUCAAAGAUUCAUCAGUUUUGCCAACUAUUACCACAGAUUUAUAAAGGUAUACUCCUCGGUCAUAUCUCCCAUUACUAGUCUCACAUGUAAAGGGGCUGAAACCCAUGUCUGGCCUCCCGCAGCUCUGUCUGCCUUUGAGCAACUGAAAUCACUCUUUUCAACUGCCCUGGUGCUCAUGCAUCCUGACCCUUCCAAGCCUUUUGUAUUAGAGGUUGAUGGUUCGGAGACAGGGGUUGGAGCUGUCCUCUCUCAAUGUGAGUCCCAAGACACUCCAUUCCAUCUGUAACGGAACCGCUGGCACCCCGACCGGGUACCUUCCGCCGACGGAUGCUCCUAGUGCUUUCCGAGGACUUCAAGCACUCUGCCUGACACCAUAACCACUGCAGACCCCACGAACCGCCGCAGCUUGGUUGGGAUCUCGCCGUCUCCACCCACUCUGGACCCAGGACCAGGGUCCAGCUUCCAGCAGGUCGACCUCUCUCCCAAUUCCAGAGAGCAGGAACAGGAACAAGCUCUUAGCAGAGCUUAGUGAUUAUACCCUGGGGAGUAUAGUGAUUAUAGCAAUCCCCAGAGUGUAGUUUCUCCAAUCCCCAAACAUGAGCCGAAACUUCAUGAAGGUACAAGAUGAUCUGUUUAUUGGCACACAAAGAACCUUCUUUUAUGCAGGUCCCCAUGCAAGGGGACAUCCCACAGGGUGGGACACAGUACAACCAAUCACACAAUGGUUACAUCCCACACAUCUCCUCCCCUUAGCCUGAGAGGUAACCCAAUUAUCAAUACAUUUUAAAACACACUUUUUACCCAACUUUCAUAACUCUAACACCAUACAUCCAAUAUUAAAAAAGUCACAUAUUAUUAAUCAGCACAUCCCAAAUACAAACCUACCCAAAAAUCAUGCAAAUCCUUCCAUUAGUUCAAAAGUUAGUUAGAAGUCCUUUGUGACCAAAGGAAGCAUGGCUUUUCCUGCCCAAACCAGUUCCCACUGGUCUGGCAGUGUCCCUGGGACAACUCCCUGCUUGAGAACAAUAGACAGGAAACGGGGGAGGGGAAGAAACACACCUUCCCAUGGAUUCCAAUGGGAAGAAACUGGCUUUAGAAGCCAAUAAGCCCCAAAUAGUCUUUUUAAAUGGCAAUACACCCCAGGGCCAUAGUCACGAGGAAGGAGGCUGGCAAUCAGGCUCCUCCAAAAGCCGGGGGCAAAGGGCAGCUUGUCACCUAACAAUUCAGGGACAAAAGGCAUUUCGUUACACCAUCCUUGUGGAUUCUUCUCCAAAAAGCUAUCCCCAGCAGAGGUUAAUUAUGAUAUAGGGAACGGGGAAUUAUUAGCUAUAAUCCUGGCUUUGAAAGAGUGGAGAUACUUGGUAGAGGGAGCUAAAGUUCCUGUAAUGAUUAUAAUGGACCACAAGAAUUUGGCCUAUAUAAGUGAGGCUAAACGUCUCUCGUCUAGACAGGCUAGAUGGUCCUUGUUUCUUUCUCUUUUUAAUUAUAUUUUCACGUAUAGGCCUAGUACUCGUAAUUCUAAGGCUGAUGCCUUAUCAAGACAGUUCGAAACCAACUCUGAUCGGGAUCUAGAAGUUUUUCCUAUCAUACCAUCAGAACGUAUAGUGGCUACCACUAUAUUAACCAUGUCCUCCUCAAGGUGCAUAAUGCUCAAACCCAGGCUCCUGACAACAAACAUAACGAUAAAUUGUUUGUGUCACCUACAGAGAGAACAGAAAUACUCUCCUUGUACCAUGAUACCAAGUCAGCCGGCCAUCCAGGGAUUUGAAAAACCUUGUCCUCCAUAUCUAGACAGUUCUGGUGGCCUUCUAUGCAUACGGAUGUCACUGAUUAUGUCCAAGCAUGUACUGUUUGCGCUAUGACCAAGACCCCUCAUAAACUACCAUGUGGUCUCUUACACUACUCCCUGUUCCUGAAAAACCUUGGUCUCACAUUGCAAUGGACUUCAUAGUAGAUCUACCACCAUCCAAGGGACAUACUACCAUUUUAACAGUGGUAGAUCGUUUCUCGAAAAUGGUCCAUUUAAUUCCUCUCCGUAAACUGCCUACCUCUAUUGAGUUAGCCCAGAUCUUUAUUAAAGAAAUAUACAGAUUUCAUGGGUUGCCACAAGAAAUCAUAUCUGAUAGAGGGAUACAGUUUAUUUCACAAUUUGGAAGAAGUUUUGUUCUGAACUUGGGGUUACAUUGUCUUUUUCCUCAUCGUGUCACCCCCAGACCAAUGGGGCUACAGAAAGGGUUAACCAAUCUAUAAAGGGCUUUUUGAGGUGUUUCAUAUCACACAACCAUGACAAAUGGUAUGACCUCUUGUCUUAUGCUGAAUUCGCAUGUAAUAACACUACAUACAACUCCUUCCAGCAUAACCCUUUCUUCAUUACAUGUGGUAGACACCCCCUUGUUAUUCCUUCUCAGUUUCAUGAGACAGGAUUACCCACUCUUGAUUGCCACCUUCAUGAUCUUCAAGAUAGGUGGAAGCUCGCGCAGCGUGCUUUGUCUUUGGCUUCCUCUCGUCAUAAGACAAACGUCGCUCUCUGGCACCUAGUUAUGUUGUUGGAGACAGGGUCUGGCUUUCCACUUGCAAUAUCAGGUUGAAGGUUCCGACCAUGAAGUUCAUCGGCCCAUGAAGUUCAUCGGCCCAUGUUCAUCGGCCCAUGAAGUUCAUCGGCCCAGGAAAAUUAAUCCUGUGUCAUAUGCUUCGGUGCUACCUCCGGCCUUGCGUAUCCCCAAUGUUUUUCAUGUAUCCCUGCUUAAGCCCUUGUUGUGCAAUUGCACCAGACACUAGUUUUAUCCUUCUCUUGUGUCCGUUGAUGGCCAAGAUGAGUGUGAGAUUCAGUCGAUUGUAGAAUCCAGGUGAUCGUGGGGUGUGUUACAGUAUUUGAUUCACUGGAGGAGCGUUUGUGGGUUCCUGCCUCCGACUUUCAUGCUGCUCGUUUCCUGCGUGCUUUUCAUGUCCGGUUUCCCUAUAAGCCGGCCCCUUCCUGCCCGGUGGGAAGUUUUUGGGGAGGGGGUACUGUCAUGCCAGGUCCGAUCCUGUCAGAUUGCGGUACGGGUCCCGGGGGGCACGCAUCAUUGCGGCAGCAUUCCCACACGCUAAGGGGAAUGUUGCCGGUCUCUGACCUGUCCGGUCGCCGUCCACCGGGUCCGCUCAUACCAGGAAGCGGUCUGGAACGGCGGGCACAUCUUGGUCCGGUGGCAUUCCCACGUGGUUAUGGGAAUGCCGCCCAUCACUCACCCCUGGUGAUAGCUCCUCCUCCUCUAACAGUGGCCGGGUCUGUACAAAUUUUAGAGUCCGGCCGCUGCAGCUUUGAAGAUUUUAAGGGUUUUUCAUUUUAACCCUUAAAGUGCCAUAUCAUUUUUAAUCAUGUAGGUGUUUCACACACACGCCCAUGAUCACAUGCUUCCGUGCAGCCAAUCAGGGAGCACCUUAGACUAUAUUAACCUGUUUUGUCCAUUUCUCUGUGCCCUGUCGUGGUUUCGUUUGUGGUUAUCCGAUAGUGCGUUCCUGAUAUUGAUUCUUGUGUAUUUGACCUUGGCUUUCCUUCUGACUAUCCGAUCUAUGUAUUCCUUGACCUUUGGCUUGGCUCCUGACUAUUCUGAUAUCUCCAUUCCUUGACGUGUCGCUUGUUCAUUGUUUCUGUUAUUUCUACGUCUUGUCUUUAUCCUGUUUUGUGGUGUUUUUCCUUAAUACGUUAAAUCUGACCAUUCUAAGGCCCGGUAAUAUGUCUUAGGAAUUUUCUUCAUAUCUACUUACGUUCUGCGUGUUGGGCAUCAUCUAUUCCUGACUGUUGGCUUCUCCUUAAUAUCGUACGAUGUCCCAUGGUGAUUCACUACCUCAAUGACUUUCUCCUGGUAGAAACUGGUACACAGACCACUACUGCUUUUUUCACCACAUUAGGUAUCCCUAUUUCACCUGAUAAGACUCUUGGCCCCUCUGUGGCAAAAGGGACCUCGCCACUGGUUUUUGGAGGGGCCUGUUUGCCAGCCUCUUGCCCUGUGACUAUGGCCCCUCAGGUGUAUUACCGUUUAAGCAGUCUAUUUGGGCUUAUUAGAUUUUUAAAACACUUUAAUUCCAUGGGAAAAUGUGCCUCUUCCCCUCCCUCUUUUUCCUGUGCUAUUGUCCUCCAGCAGGGCGUUGUCCCAGGUACACUGCCAGACCCUCCUCAAUCUCUCAUCAGCUCUUGCUAUUGUUUAACCCCAUGGCGAUCCAACUGUAUUCGUGGGAUCUGAGUGCUUUUCGGACAUAUUGAGCGCUCAGAUCCAAGCUAUCUGGAGAUAUGUUGGACAUAUAGGUUAAACAUUGUAUUAUAUGAGUUAUGUAUUUUAUGUAGUUUUGUUAACAGUUUUUGGACUUAGAGAUAAUUUUCUUACCACAGCCACUUAAGCCAAUUAUCUCCAGGAUAGAGGAGAAGAUAGACCGGUCGCACAGCCUAAAUCUGUGGAACUGUUUUGGGCAUGAAAGCCAUGCUUGCGGUCGGUCAAAUAUGACUUCCAUAAAACUUUUGAACCCCUGCUCUGAUCUGGGUGAUUUUUUAAUAUGUUGUUCACCCAGAUCAGGGCUAUCCAUGUAUGGGGAUAUGUUGCUGUUUUGGGGUGUUUCUGUGUUUUGGGUAAAAACUGUUUAUUUUCUGCCCUUUAUCACAGGCAGAAGGGAGGGUUUGUGUGCAUUAGCUGGGAGUGUCUGAAUGUACUGUAUUGUGUUGAUUGGCUGUUGUAACUUUGUGUCCUGUGUACCACAAGGUCCACGUGGGUGGUAACCUUGUGGGAAAAUGUGUAUAUAAGAAACAGUAAAGCCACAGUUCAUUCUGUUCCUGCUUACACUCCAAAACUGUGUCGUCCUGUUAUUGGAGGGGAAGAAGAUUUGCUCCUGUGUCUGCUGUUCCAGCUUGCAGGAGAUUUAAGGGAAGAAGGCUUGCUCCUGUGUCUGCUGUUCCAGCUUACAGGAGAUUCACCAGGGAAAGUCCUUGUAAGGACUAGAGCUAAUUCCCCAUUCGGCUCCAGGAAGGAGCGGUUCCAGGGCCCCAGUCCAGCCACAGCGACUGUGGGCAGAAGUGCUGCGGUUUGUCCUCUGUUCCAGCUAGGAAGUGGUGCUUUGGCGGAGGUACUCAGCUGGGGUACAGGGAGCUCCGCUACACCCUCCACUAGAUUGGUGUUCCUGGGCGUCACCUUGCAGCUGUGCACACGUCUCUGUAACAACGUUAUGGCACGCAAAAUACAUCAACAAGGGGCGCUCAGCGUCCUUGACCAUUAUGAGGUGUUUGUCGGCUUCACCCCACAGCAGACAGGCUCCUGUCCAGAACUCCGCUAUUCCAGGAGCUUGUGAUGGACUAGCCAGUCUUCAUCAACGGCAGACAUCAGCUGUGGAAACCCAACGGCGCUCCUCGGGCCAUACCCCUUUCCAUAUACCAAGUAUUGGAGACGACCCCUAAGGAGAUGGGAAUCAAGCACAGCAGCCACCUCAAUAGAGACAAUAGAGACAGGAGGAGGGGGAGAAACAGGCCUGGUAAACUGGUUACAAAGAAGAGGUUUCAACAAGGAGGUGUGAUACACAUUGGGCACACGCAUGUUCCUCGGAAGGUCCAAGGCAUAAGAAACGGGUUAACCUUGUGCAAGAUGCGGAAUGGACCGAUAUAGCAGUGAGUCAACUUCAUAGAAGGAACUUAGAGAUGGAUAUUACGAGUAGAAAGCCUAACCCUGUCCCCCACAACAUAGAAAGGUGCUGCCCUACGAUGCCUCUGCCUUUUGACAAGCAGCAGAAUCCACCAGGGAAUGCUGAACCUGUUCCCAAGUUUUAUGUAAAGCAGCCAAAGGUUUGUCCAGAACCGUCAUACCCCGCAAAGAGAAUACAGGGAGAACAACAGGAUGUCGUCCAUAAACAAUGUAAAAAGGACUGUUACCGGAAGACUAGUGAGCAGUAUUAUUACGAGCAAAUUCAGCCCAAGGGAGCAGUUCAGUCCAAUCAUUCUGAUGGUGGGAAACAAAACAGUGAAGAUAUUGCUUUAGGGACUGGUUGGCACGUUCAGCAGCUCCAUUAGACUGGGAGUGGUAGGCACUCCCAGUCUAUCGGACACUAUAGAAUCAGGUAUGCCAUGUAAUCUAAAUACCUCUCUGGUGAAUAUAGCAGCCAAAUCUUUGGAAGAAGGUAAUUUGACAAGUGACACAAAAUGAGCCAUCUUAGAGAAUCUAUCAACGAUCAUCAAAUUAGAUUUACGAGGUGCAUAUAACCUGGUCCGUAUCCGUAAAGACGAUGAAUCGAAAACAGCCUUCAGGACACGGUAUGGGCACUUCGAAUAUCUUGUUAUGCCCUUCAGGCUCUGCAAUGCCCCAGCCACAUUCCAACAUUUUCUGAAUUACAUUUUACGCGAUUUACUAGAUUCCUUCAUCGUAAUCUACUUAGAUGACAUCCUCGUCUUCUCCUCCUCUUCCGCUGAACACCACGAGCAUAUGAGGAGGGUAUUUCUCCGCCUUCGUGAACAUGAGCUAUACGCUAAAUUGAGACAUGUCUUUUUGAUUCAGAAUCCAUAGAGUUCCUAGGAUACGUAAUCACUUCUGGGCAGAUUCAAAUGGAUCCUCGCAAAGUCACUGCUGUCUUAGAUUGGCCAACACCCAAAGACAAAAAAUCUGUACAGCGAUUCAUGAGAUUCGCCAAUUUCUACAGGCGUUUCAUCAAAGGUUUUUCCCAAGUAUGUUCUCCCAUAACAGCCUUAACUAAGAAACAGGAACAGUUUGCAUGGACCACCCAAGCUCAAGACGCCUUUACAAAGUUAAAAAAACUUUUUACCCAAGCUCCUAUCCUCAUACAACCCGAUACUACCAAAGCUUUCUCUACUUGAGGUAGACGCCUCCGAUAUUGCGAUUGGAGGAAUUAUUUCCCAAAGAAGCAAGAAAGACGACCAACUACACCCCGUGGCCUUUUACUCCCAUAAACUAUCGCCUGCAGAAAAGAACUACGAUGUAGGUGAGCGAGAACUUCUUGCUGUCAAGAGUACUUUAGAAGAAUGGUGCCACCUACUUGAGGGAGCUCCCUUACCCAUCACAGUAUACACAGACCAUCGCAACUUAGAAUACCUCCAGGCUGCCAAGAGAUUACGUCCACGCCAAGCCCGCUGGUCAUUAUUUUUCUCUAGAUUUAACCUACAGAUAACCUACCGCCCUGGAUCAAAGAAUCCCUCCAUCGGAAUUCCAUCCGCUGCUAAGACUGCCGCCUUAUUCCUACAAAAUAUAUUCCAUUUACAUGGACUGACUCAAUCCAUCAUCACUGAUCGAGGUACCCAAUUCACCUCUCAUUUCUGGACCCAUUUUUGUUGUCACCUAAGUAUUCAGCGCUGUUUAUCCUCAGCUUACCACCCUCAAACCAACGGCUAAACGGAACGCACCAAUCAAACCGAUCAAUAUCUUUGCUGUUUCACUACGCAUCUCCAGGACGACUGGCUAUCUGUACUGCUCACUGCAGAAUUCUCCUACAAUAAUCACAAACAUCAUUCCAUCAAGAUGACACAAUUUUUUGCUAACUAUGGUCUCCAUCCCUGUGCUUUUCCUGAACUCCCUUGUCCUAACACAGUGCCCGAUUUAGCCUCACGCCUGAACAGACUCACACAACAAAGACGUAUGUUGCAACAAACCCUGGAAGUAGCACAACAACGCUAGGAUAUGCUGACAAAAGAAGGUCCCUAGCACCUACCUAUGUGCCAGGGGACAAAGUCUGGCUAUCCACACAACAUAUGUGUUUGUCCUGUCCUUCAUGGAAACUGGGACAACGCUACAUUGGUCCCUUCACUGUUACUGAGAUCUUAUCUCCUGUAGCUGCCCGUCUCGAUCUUCCUUCCACCUAUCAGUUACAUCUGGUUUUCCAUAUAUCCCUCCUAAAACCCUGGAAACCCGACCGAUUCUCUUCAUGUAAUGUUGCUCAACCUACUCCAGUGGUUGUUGAUGGUUCCAAUGAAUAUGAGGUCCAAGAGAGCCUCGACUCCAGAUGUCGUAGGAGUCAUCCACUGGAAAGGCUAUGGUCCAGAGGAAUGAUCUUGGGAGCCGGCCAGGAGUGUCUACAUAGUUACAUAGUUACAUAGCUGAAAAGAGACUUGCGUCCAUCAAGUUCAGCCUUCAUCACAUUUGCUUUUUUUGCUGUUGAUCCAAAAGAAGACAAAAAACCCAGUUUGAAGCACAAUUUUGCAACGAGCUAGGAAAAAAAUUCCUUCUUGACCCCAGAAUGGCAGUCAGAUUUAUCCUUGGAUCAAGCAGUUAUUACCCUACAUUGAAAGAUUAUAUCCUUGAAUAUUCUGUUUUUGCAAGUAUGCAUCUAGUAGCUGUUUGAACAUCUGUAUGGACUCUGAUAAAACCACUUCUUUAGGCAGAGAAUUUCACAUCCUGAUUGUUCUUACAGUAAAAAAACCUUUCCUUUGCCUUAGACGAAAUCUUCUUUCUUCCAGUCUAAACGCAUGUCCUCGUGUCCUAUGUAAAGUCCGGUUUGUGAAUAGAUUUCCACACAAUGGUUUGUAUUGGCCCCGAAUAUAUUUGUAUAAUGAACGCACCUGCCAAAAUUAGAGCUUUCCACAGAAAACACCCUGGUCGGCCAAGCCUAUUUCGCACCCUAGGGAGGGGGCUCUGUCAUGGCCGGGUACUCACCUGCCCCUGGGCGCCCGCGCCGCCCUCGCAGCAGAGUUGCGGUACUCGCCGCUCCCGGAGACCCCCCUCCCGGUCUGUGGCGGCUUCUGUUCCUCUCACCGCCGAUGUCCGUGGCGAGCAUGCCGUCGCGGCAAGAUGGUGGCCGCCAUGCGGACCUGGCAUUCUACACAGGGAGGAGGAGGAGAGCUGCAGAUCCAUAGGGGAGGAACAGGUCAGGGAAUAUGGUGUAAAGCAAGAUGACGCCGAGUCCCUGACCUCUUUACAUAACCCCUAUGUGCUUCCCCUUCUGGUGGGAGGUGGCCGGUCAAGUGAUCCCAGCCACCUAUUUAAACCCAGCACACCUUCCAGUGAGUGCUUGGUUAUUUUGCUUAUUGCUAUAUACCUGCCUAUUGCCAUGAUUUUCAGUCUAUGUUCCUGGUUCCUGAUCCUUGAUUCCCCGGAUGAUUGCUCUUGCCUGCUUCCUGACCUGACUCCAGAUUGAUCAACUACUUCUGCCUGCUGCCUGACUGCUAUUUGCUUCUUCAUUCCUUGCUCCAGCUUCCUGGAAUCCUAGUAUACAUUAAAGGCCACCAUGCCACCACAGACCCUCUAGGACCCUGUCUCCAAUCCAAGGUGCUCCUAAGGGUUGUGAUAGUAAGGGAGUGCUGUUCCGCUGCAAUUGGGUUCCAUCUACUCCACGAAUUCCCCAGGUGGGUGUUAUAGAUACUCUUAAAGAUAGACCGACCUUCUGCAUGAAUACUGUGGAACUAAUUCUGGGUUGACUUUUGCUGAACGGCCCUGGAGACAAACCUUUACCCCAUGGCGUUCCCACUAUAUUCGUGAGAUCUGAGCGCUUUUUGGACAUCUUGUGCGCUCAGAUUGAAGCUAUCUGGGGAUAUGUUGGACCUAUAAAUUAAAUAUUGUAUUAUAUAAGUUAUGUAUUUGUAUGUGGUUUCUGUUAUAUAUUAAACUUUAGAAUAUGUCCUGUACCUGGAGAUAAUUAAGUUACUACAACUACUUAAGCCAAUUAUCUCCAGGAUAGAGGGGAGGGUACAGAAAGAUGCAAUUUGUUCUUAUUGGUUUAUGUCCCUUGUAUCAGGUCCAGAGGAGUGCGCCCCUGACCUGAAAAUGUGUAUAUAAGCAAUGCCUUUCUGCUCAAUAAACCAGACUUCUUACCCUCAACUCGCAGCCCCGACUCUUGUUGUAGGGAAAUGCUGAUGACUAGCUCUGCUCAGAGCUCCAGGAAUACUCUGCACUUGCAGGAAUAUCGUUAGAUGCACUUUGUACCGCUCUCCAGGAUCGGGGACAAGGACAUCCAAGUGGUCCAACCCUCAGUUAGCCUGGGGCAACUGUAACAACAUCUAUAAUAGUUUGCAAAGCCAAUAAAUUGCUGGAUGGCUUUCAAACCAUGUCUAUAACUGCAGAAAGCUUUUUGGGAUCCAUUUGAAAGCCAUUAGCAGAAACUAGAUAGCCCAGGAAUUGCACUUCAGCUUGGUCAAACAAACACUUCUCGAGUUUACAGUAGACGCCAUUAGCAAAAGGAUUCUUCAAAAUCUUUGACAUGCAUGUGAUGAGUAUGCAGAUCAGGUGAAUAUAUCAAUACGUUGUCCGGGUACUCUAUUACAAACAUAUGUAUGUACUUCCUUAAGACAUCAUUGAUAAAAUCCUGCAACAUUGCUGGGGCAUUACAGAGACCAAAGGGCAUAGUUACAUAGCUGAAAAGAGACUUGCGUCCACCAAGUUCAGCCUUCCUCACAAAUGUUUUUGCUGUUGAUCCAAAAGAAGGCAAAAAACCUAGUCUGAAGCGCUUCCAAUUUUGCAACAAACUCGGAAGAAAUUCCAUCUUCAGCCCAAAAUAGCAGUCAGAUGUCUCCUUAGAUCAAGCAGCUAUUACCCCACUAAUUAGAAAUUAUAUCCCUGUAUGUUGUGUUUUUGCAAGUAUUUAUCAAAUUGCACUUUAAAGAUCUGUACGGACUCUGAUAAAACCACCUCUUAAGGAAAUGAGCUGGAACUGAAUCAUUUCGGCAUGCAACAGCCCUGUAGACAUAUGCAGGGGUUCCAUUUUGUGAGUAAUCACCGGGGAACAUAAUGGUCUACCAUCUAUGGCAUCAACGGCCAAGGGUGUUUCCUUCUCCCUUACAGGUACCUUGUAUGACUUUACAAAGUUGGAAUCAAUGAAGUUCUCAGCCGCACCGGAGUCAACCAGGGCUAGAACUUUCCCUUUAUCUAUUAAACUGUUGAAAUGCAGGGAAAAAGGGAGGAGCAGUCUAUUUAGAAACGAACGUGGGGACUCUGAUGUCACACCAAAAGCUGGUGCCCUAUGCAGUCUUAGGUGCGAGAGUUUUCUGGGCGAACCCCCACAGUAAAGACAGAAUCCUUCCUUCUUCCUAUACAGUUUUUCAGCAUCAGUGAGCUUGGUAACCCCUAAUUGCAUAGAUUCUACCUCUGGUACAUUGGGAAUCUCAGGAACUUCAACCUUAGGCGUAACGGAUACUGUAAGGCGUCUAUUUCUAUUCCUGGUGUAUUGUCUAUCACAAAUUAUAUUGUCUAUAUCGAUGAUAUAGUCAAUAAGAUCCUCCGUGGCUAUAGAGAGGUCUUUGGCCUCUACCUCAUCCGAUAUAGCAUCUGGUAGACCUUCCAUAAAUGCCCGCUGUUUGUCCAAUCUACCUGAGAGGCCAAGGUAAGAAACUGGAUAGCAAAGUCAGCAACUGACCUGGAUCCCUGUUUGAUUCUCAUCAAUGCUUUAGCUGCAUUUUUAGCCCUGGGAAAAGCUAUAAGGAAACCUUGGAAAUCAUGAACCAGAGGACCAUUAUCCUCCCAUAUAGGAUUAGCCCACUCAAGUGCCUUAUCAGUGAGCUGAUGCAUGAGGAACCCCACCUUUGACCUGUCGGUGAGAAAGGAUCGGGUUGUGGCGGACCGCCUGGCAUCCUGACUGGGUGCCUCCACCAAUCGAUGCUUCCUAGUGCUCACUGAGUACUCCAAGCACUCCACCAGACACCAUAACCACCGUAAACCCCGCAGCCAGUGUUACAGCUUGGCUGGGCUCUCGCUGUCCUCCAUCCACCCUGGACCCAAGAUCCAGUUUCCUGUGGGUAGACCUCUCCAAAUCCAGAGAGUAAAGCAGGAAAGCUCUUACAAGAGCUAGUGAUUAUAAUCCAAGGGAGUAUAAUGAGUAUAGCAAUCCCCAGAGUGAAUAUAGCUGUUCCCUCCACACAUGAGAUGAGGCUCUAUGUUGAGGGUGAAGAAGAACUGGUUUAAUGGGAGCCACAUGCAGCCUUAUACGCAAGUCCCUAUGCAAGGGGUUUUCCAUAACAUAUUCCAAGGGCAUUCCGCACUGGACCUGAGUGGGGACUGUGACAAAGUACACACUGUAAUUACAUUGGCUCUCAGGUCCAGGACACUCCAAAACAAAACAGGGUAAUCACUCCCAUGUGCCUAAGAGAUAAUUGGGUUAGGCACUGUUCUAAACUCAAUUAUCUCCAGGUACAGAAAACAUAUAUUUUACAAUAACCCAAAAGUACCCCCAAAACACAUGGAAACCCCACAAAAGGGGGGUUAAGAGAGGCCACAGAGGGAGGGGUUGAGGAGAGACCACUAAGGGAGUGAGGGGGGUGAGGAGAGACCACUAAGGGAGGGAGUGGGGUGGAGGAGAGACCACUAGGGUAGGGGUGGGAUGCAAGGGACAGCUCUAAAAGACAGGGGGCAGGGGGGGCACCAAGGGACAGGGGGGGAUAGGAGAGAGCACUAGGAGAUAGGAGGGGAGAGCUCUAAAGGACGGGAGGGGAGAGCACUAAGGGACAGGAGGGGAGAACACUACGGGAAAGGGACAGGGGAGAGAACUAAGGGACAGGGGAGAUCACUAAGGGACAGUGGGGCAGGGGAGAGCUCUAAGGGACAAGAAGUGAGAGCAGUAAGGGAUAAGAGGGGAGAGAGGCUGAGGAAGGGGGUGUAGAGAAGCACAAAGGGGCUGAUAGGACUCAGCCCCUAUACUACCCCACAAACUCUAUCUUUAACACUACACACACCAUGCUUCCCUAUACACAAACAGAAACACACCAUGCGUCACUUACACACAGAGAAACAUACAAUGCAUCCAUUACACACACAAACACACACACUCAAUGCACCCCUUACACACACAUACACAGAAACACACCUUGCAUCCCUUACACAUACAAACACAGAUACACACAAUGUGUAAGAAAUGAUGACCCUCUUACAAAGUUAUUCUUUUAGGGAAUGUGAGACAAAUAAGACACAAACACAAGUGUAUAAUAAAAUGUAUUUUUAAAAUUGAUUUAGGAUACUGUUACAGAUUUUAGGAUAUACAUGUUACAAGUACCCUCUGUCUGCCGUGUUGUUACAAUAUGUCUGUUCCUUUCAUCUAACUAAACCACAAAGUAAUUCACUAUACUGUUCGUAUGCCGAACUACCAUAAGAACAAUAAGACUCCCAAGAACAGUCAUGUGUGGCCCAUUAAGGCUUGUUAACCUCUGUGACGAGACCAAUCUCGCCACAUUGCAUUGGAGAAGCCUGGUUGCUCGCCUGCUGCCUUUGGACUAUGGCCCCAUGUUAAAAGACUUUAUUUUCCCCUGCAAAGACAAGGUGCUUGCCCUGUUUGAGCAGUGAUACCCCAGAUAGCUAUGCCAUGGAGCCCAUUCGUAUAAUGAAAGACUAUGGGAAAGACUUUGGCUCCAUGGCAAUUGAACUGUAUGUGUAUGCUCUGAGUGCCAUUCAGUAAUAAUGUGCGCUUAGACCUAAGCUAUCUGGGCAUAUGUCUGUAUUUUAUGUCAUAAAUGUAACCUUGUGUAUUUUAUUGUAUUUUACUGUCCUUUUGCUGCCAUGUGUUCAAUGGAGUUUUGCCUCUGUCUUUGGAGAUAAUUGGAUUACUUCUAAUUAUCUCCAGGAUAGAAGACUCUGUGGAACUGGUUUUGGGCAGAAAAGCCAUGCUUCCUGGGGUCACAAAGGACUACGAUCUAUCUUUUGAACCACUGGACCAAUUUGUAUGAUUUUGACGUAUGUUUGUAUUUGGAGUAUGCUGAUUCUGAAAAUGUAAGUUUUAUAAAUAAAAUGAAUUUCAAGUUAUGAAUAAUGUGGAAGAAUUUAACCCCUUAAGGACACAUGACGGAAAUAUUCCGUCAUGAUUCCCUUUUAUUCCAGAAGUUGUGUCAUUAAGGGGUUAAUUUCUCUGCUUGUUCUAAAUUACAUUACCCAUUGUGUAAGGUAAUUGAAUCACAUGCAGAGGGGGGGAAUUUGUGUGGGAGUGUCUGAGUGUAUUGUAUGUGUUUAUUGGUUGUGUUCCAAAACCCUGUGGGUGGUACUAAUGUGUAAGAAUGUGUACAUAAGCACAAUAAACCCACAGCUCUGUCUGACCACUGCUUGACCCUCAACACGGAGCCUUGUCUCGUUCUUGGGGGGAUUCACUGUAUGCUGUUAGAGACUGAUUGCCAGGAGUGUAAGCUGAUUGUCUGCUUUUCCUGUUCGUCUGCUAGCAGCUAUUUGGGAGGUUCCAGUUCGGGAGUUGGAGUGCUAUUUUGUAUCCAGUUCGGGAGUUUGGUGUUCUGCAGUAGCUGUGCCUGUAUCUCUGGAAGGGGAAGAUCUCCUAAACGGCUGUUAACCCCUUUUUACCCCUUUUGUGCAAAACGGUCCGUUACAACCUCUUUCACCCCAAACCACCGAACAAAAUGCUGAACGACCGACCACCCUGCAUGUGGAGUGUGCCGCUUAUUAGCUUCCUAGAAGCUGCGGGUUGCGGUUAACUGCAGCUUAAUUGACGAACGGCUACGUGGUCGUCGUUCGUAAGAACAAACACGUGGCGGCGCCCAUUUUAAACUGCCGAACGCCCAGCGGUGUUUGUCGUCGACCGUGUGGAACUGUUUUCGGUUACUGUUUUACACGAACACCGCUGGGACCUACAAGCUAUCUGGGGAUAUGUCGAACAUGGGGGUUGAAUUAUGUAUAAUAUGAGCUAUGUAUUUUAAUGUGGUUUUGUUACAGUCUUAACUUAGAGAUAUUUUCUGUACCGGGAGAUAAUUAAGUUACUACGGCCACUUAAGCCAAUUAUCUCCAGGAUAGAAGGGAGGGUUUAGAAAAAUGCACUUUGUUGUGAUUGGUUCAUGUUACCUGUGUUUCAGUGCCCCACCAGGUCCAGUGGGUGUUCCCUCGCCUGGAAAAACUUGUAUGAGGGUGAUGAAUGUACCCAUUAAAACCAGUCUUCUUACGCCUCAACUCGCAGCCUCGUCUUGUGUUGUAGGGAAAUGCUAAUCACCAGCUCUGCUCAGACCUUCAGAAACCUUUUACACUUCCAGGGAUAUCGGUAGUUGCUGAAUUUGCCACUCUCCCAGCUCGGGGACAAGGAAAUCCAGGCGGUCCAACCCUCAGCUAACCUGGGGCAACCGUAACAAUUCACAUUAUAACCACAUCCAGUCCAAAACCAAAAGAUACAUAGUAAAAGGGAAAUACUUAAACAUUUAAAUGAAGAUCUUCCCCUUGCAACUGUCAUGGUUCUCACCACAACAUCCAGACAAGGUCACCCCAGAAGGGCCCAACAGGGGAUUUGAACCUGGGUGCUUUAUGGUACUCAGUCUGUGUUCAUGCCUCUGAGCCACUUGGUUCGUUAUUUGGUCUGAAACUUAUCCUUGUCAAGUCUCUAGCACUGGGGGCUGGACUUGACCUGUGACUGCUCCUGUCAAUCGUGGUCCAGCUGUAAAGCAUCUCUGAUUAGCCAGGUAUAAGACACUGCCUCUCGCUGAGGGCAGUGUCAGUUCAUUGGUUCUGCUGUCUGAUUCCUGUUUUUGAGUUUCCAAAUCGUUUGUUCCUGGCUCCUGACUUUGGCUUUCUUACCAUGCAUCCUCUGACUUUGGCUUACCAUUGACGAUUCUCAUGCUUGUGUCCUUACCUGUACUGCGACUUGGAGCAAAAUCCUGCACAGACUCACAGGCCAGGUGAAUUCUUACCUGACCACCUUGGCCUGUGUUUAAUUGCAAGGGUGAACAUAAAUCUCUGCCUACCGGACUCCCAACUAAGGUAAGCUGUGACAGCGCCUGCAUCUUGAGUAGUCUGGGACAGUCUAUCUCAGUUCACCAUGGCACCACUGCUUGCUGCGCUGUCCUCUCCAAAGGAGACAAAAAGAGAAAGAGAGGACCCUCACAUCCUUGGCUGUUCUUUUAAAGACUGAUUCUUCCAGUCAUUAACUACAGGUCCCAGAAUCCAUUUUCCAUCCCAAAAGUGGUUUAUCCCGCCCUCUUUUCCCAGAGAGUUGCAUCUUUACGCAAGUCCUUUUCUCUCGCCCCCGCUGACGCUGUACAUCUGUCACAUAUUCAUCCGCUUAUAGAAAUGUGGUUAAUGACAUUUACUGUCCACACAGGAAAAGUUGUGGCAAGCAGCAACCUAAUCCACAGAAGGGUUAAUGCUGAGCAGUAAUUGUGCAAAUUAAACCUGGUGUCAUGUAUUCAUCCGCUUAGAGAAAAGUGAUUAAUGACAUUUACUGUCCACACAGGAAAAGUUGUGCCGAGCAGCAACCUAAUCCACAGAAGGGUUAAUGCUGAGCAGCAAUUAUGCAAAUGAAACCUGGUAACUGACUUUGGGGUCAAAGGCCGGUUACAGCCUAUCAGAACUAAAGGAGGGGUAUUUAGGCCCAGUUCUCAGCCUGCUCAGUGCCCUGUCGUGGUUUCCCUUGUGGUUGUCUGAGGGCGCGUUCCUGUUUAUAGUUUUCUACCUGGGUUUUGGUUUUGACUUUGGCUUUGUUUAUUGACUUCUCUAUAUUCUGGUAUCCUGACUCCUGGCUUUCCUCAUCGCUGUGUCCCUUUCUGUGUUCCCUGACCCCGGCUAGUAUUUUUGACUAUUCUUUGUACGUUAAAUCAGGCCAUUCUAAGGACCGGUAAUACGUUGCUUAUUUGUCAUCCGUGCUGUACAGUUCUACGUGCUGGAUCAAACAGUAAUCCUGAGCACAUCCUCCAGUACCCCGUGCCAGACGCCUUUCCGGACUGCAUCCCUUCAGUCAGGGUGAUCAUCCUCCUCGAAUGCAAACGCUGUCCGGGAACUAGCUGGUUCCAUACCGCUGUAGGCAGGGGCGCUGGACGAAUACUAGCAUUGCCCUCAACUUGUAAUAAUCCAAACGAUUCCGGUGUCUCGGAAGCCGUCCCACUUCUGCCACCAGAUGUGGCGGACCACCUGGCACCCUGACUUGGUACCUCCGCCAAUCAAUACUUCCUAGUGCUCAACGAGUACUCCAAGCACUCCACCAGACACCAUAACUACCGUAACCGUCGCAACAACCAUUUGUUAUGGUGUAUAAUGAGUAUAGCAAUCCUCAGCAUGAAUAUAGCUGUUCCCUCCACGAGGCUUUAUGUUGAGGGUGAAGAAGAACUCUUUAAUGGCAGCGACAACUGGCCUUAUAUGCAUGUCCCAAUGCAAGAGGUCUUCCAUUACAUAUUCCAGAGGCAUUCCCCAUGAAACCUGAAGGGGACUAUGACAAAGUACACACUGUAAUUACAUUGGCUCUCAGGUCCAGGAAACUCCCAAACAAAACAGGGUAAUCCCUCCCAUGUCCCUAAGAGAUAAUUGGGUUAGGCACUGUUCUAAACUCAAUUAUCUCCAGGCACAGAAAACAUAUAUUUUACAAUAACCCAAAAGUACCCCCAAAACACAUGGAUACCCCACAAGUCAUAUCCCCUGAUAGCCCCGAUCUGGGGGUCCAACAUAUCCAAAAAUCACCCAGAUCUGUUCAGGGGUUUGGGAUUUCCAUGUAAGUCAUAAUUUUGACCAACCAUGCACAUGGUCCUAUGACCAAAACAGUUCCAUGAAAUCAGUACUAAUGGUUGGUCAAGUUUGGUAGUCUUUUACAGGUUUCCCUGCAGGGCUCCUCCAGGAUCUCGUGGCGAGGUUACUUUCGCCACACGGGUAUAAAUCUCAAAGUGGAAUUCCACUUGAUUGAGAAACCCCCUACAUGUCUUAGCAUCUCCUUCAUACCUAGGAGGAGGACGCAUUAGUCAGGAUAGAUGCCUCUGGAAUGGGAGGUACGGGUUGAGAUGGUACGCAUACCAGUGUCUCAGGGGCCGAAUAAGCAUUUUUGGACAAAAGUGUCUGAAGGGCCUGGGCAAUCUGGUCCAUACGGUGAUCCUGUUCUUAAAAUCUUGCCUCAUAGGAGGCCAUUUGCUGUCCUAAACCUGCAGGGCCCAUGGUCCUAUCAUAAUGUCACAAUGUAAUACCCCAGCACGGAGAGUUUAGGAUAGCAAGGGACAAGACUAGCAUAUAACGUAUUACCUGGACUUAGAAUGGCCAGACUAAACAUCAGUCAGAGAUAAAGCGUAAUCAGAAACGAGACGAGAUCAUGGUAACGGAGAGACUACGAGAACAAGCCAGAGUCAGGUAGAUGGUAAUCAGUCACACGGGCAAACAAGACAGGAAAGGGUUAAAGAUAAACUCAGUAUCAAAAACAAAGCCACGGUCAAUAACAAAAUAAACACAAUAGAACAAGGAUACUGACACAGAAACCACGAUAGGACAAAGUGGGAAGUUUAAAUAUCCUUUAACAUUUGAUUGACCCACGUCAUGCCUACGCCCAAAAAGUUUGUGUGUGUGUGUGUGGGGGUGCUGGAAUGACGUGGCCCAAUGGGAGCCUGAAUCAACAUUUGGCUCCCACUGCCCCUUUAAGAGCGAGCUUGUGACGCGAGCCGUGCUCCUAGUGUCAGGCGGGCCACGUGACCGAUCACUGGGGUCAGUGCAUGAAGCUCAGUCAGAAGAGGAGAUCAAGCUGCAUGUGGCUUGUGUGGAGGCAGGCGUGAUCCAGCCACGCGCGGCUCGAGCUUAGGGGCCAGGUCGGUCCCAGGAUAAGGUAAGUACAGCCACAACCACUUAUCCCAAUCACACACCUUUCCUAACGUCCUAUCCCAUUAAAAGCAUAUUACCGCGUAUUUAAUAAAACAGACCCCCUACUUCAUCCAGGUUACCGAUCGAUGGUUCGAUAUUCUGAGCCCUCUCUGAUUUACUGGACACGACUAUUCGAUAUUCCCACGAAUUUUAUAUAGCGCUUUAUGCUUGUUUGAGACCACCUUAAAAAUAUUGGAUAUCGCUAAAAAUCAUGAUCACUAUAUACUUUCUCUACAAAACUCUAAAACGAACCAAACUACUCAUCCAUCCGCUAUACCACUUUAUCCCACCUAGAACUAGUUCCCAGUUAAAAUACUUGACUCUUACUUACCCACACUCAGUCAUGCCACACAUUUCACCACUACGCUCACUGAAUCCCUCUGACAAAUGCAUUUCUACAUAAGAACACUACUCCUAAGAUUGGGUUGUAUCCAUGUCUCGAGUCUUUCAUUUAGAAUAGGGGCAGCUUCGGUCUUCUUCAACACUGACACUCCAGUGCAUAUUAUUAAAAGAUUGGGCAGAUGGAAAUCCUCAGUCUACAACCGAUUUAUAUUCCUCAUCCCGAGAAAGAAAUGAGGAAAGCGUUUAAAAGUUUGGCUUUGUAAAUUUGAUGCAAUAAGUGUGUUCUUUGUAUAAUAAACACAGGUUACUGGCUAUGAUGGGGGGAUAAUGUAUAAUAAACACAGGUUACUGGCUAUGGGAGGGGGAUAAUGUAUAAUAAACACAGGUUACUGGCUAUGGGAGGGGGAUAAUGUAUAAUAAACACAGGUUACUGGCUGUGGGAUAAUGUAUANNNNNNNNNNNNNNNNNNNNNNNNNNNNNNNNNNNNNNNNNNNNNNNNNNNNNNNNNNNNNNNNNNNNNNNNNNNNNNNNNNNNNNNNNNNNNNNNNNNNGGAUAAUGUAUAAUAAACACAGGUUACUGGCUAUGGGGGGGGAUAAUGUAUAAUAAACACAGGUUACUGGCUAUGGGGGGAUAAUGUAUAAUAAACACAGGUUACUGGCUAUGGGGGGGGAUAAUGUAUAAUAAACACAGGUUACUGGCUAUGGGGGGGGAUAAUGUAUAAUAAACACAGGUUACUGGCUAUGGGGAGGAGCCAGUGUGGGGAGGAGCUAUGGGAGGAGCCAGUGUGGGGGAGGAGCCAAUGGCUGGAGCUGCUAUGUGAUUUCCAGCCCCUGUAAUAUGACGGCUGGGAGCCACGCCCACUCCUUCAGUUCCAACCAAUAGCUAUACUUGUGUUUUUUUUCUUUGUUCCUCUUGUGCCGCGCGCUGUGAUAGGUAGCUUUCCGAUCACGUGUCUCGCUCGAUGUGUGACGUAUAGUAUCCCCGCCCUUUCGAUCCCGUGCCCUCAGUGCGAAUGACGUAUUUCCUGUGGAGCGCUGCAUUUCCGUUUCCCUGAGCUCAGUGACAUUGAAGGAGAGCGGACAGCGAGCUCGAGGUGAGAGAACGACAUCACCGCCCCCCAGACUGACCCCCAACAUCACCCCCCCACCAGACUGCCCCACUGUGACUGACCCCCUCCCACACCCUCCCCCCACCCCAGACUGACUCCCACAUCACCCCCCAAUAUCACCCCCUCACUCCCCAGACUGACCCCCCAAUAUCACUUCCCAGAUGACCCCCACAUCACCCCCCCAGACUGACCCCCAUCCUCCCAGACUGACCCCCAAUAUCACCUCCCAGACUGACCCCCAAUAUCACCCUCCCAGACUGACCCCCAAUAUCACCUCCCAGACUGACCCCAUAUCACCUCCCAGACUGACCCCCCAUAUCACCCCUCCCAGACCCCCUGUUCCCAGACUGACCCCCAAUAUCUCCCAGACUGACCCCCAAUAUCACCCUCCCAGACUGACCCUCACCAUCACCCUCCCCAGACUGACCCCAACAUCACCCCCCUCUUCCCUCCCAGACUGACCCCAAUAUCCCCUCCCCUGACCUCACCCAACAUCACCCUCCCCAACAUCACCCCCCUUCCACCUGACCCCCACACCCCUCCCCCACCACCAGACUGACCCCCAACAUCACCCUCCCAGACUGACCCCACCCCAACAUCACCCUCCUCCCAACAUCCCCCAACAUCCCUCCCAGACUGACCCCCACCCCAACAUCCCUCCCCAGACUGACCCCCCACCCCAACAUCCCUCCCAGACUGAAUCUCCCACCCCAACAUCCCUCCCGGACUGACCCCACCCCAACCCCCUCCCAGACUCACCUUCCCCAACAUCACCUUCCCUCCCAGACUGACCCCCAACAUCACCUUCCCUCCCAGACUGACCCCCAACAUCACCUUCCUCCCAGACUCCCAGACUGACCCCCAACAUCACCUUCCCUCCCAGACUGACCCCACCCCAAGAUCACUCCCAGACUGACCCAGACCCCCUCCAGACUACCCCCAACAUCCAGCCCCCACCCAAACAUCCCUCACCCAACAUCCCCCCCACCGACUGACUUUCCCCCCUUUGUAUCAACUCAUUUGCAUUCUCUAUUUUUUUUUUAGGCAAAAUGUCUGAAGAUAUCCGUCAGAAGAUUGAAAACUUCAAGACUGCUCCCUUUGAUGCUCGUUUCCCCAACCAGAAUCAGACCAAACACUGUUACCAGAACUACCUGGGUAAGGCUGCACCUCUUUUUAUACCAGAACUACCUGGGUAAGGCUGCACCUCUUUUUAUACCAGAACUACCUGGGUAAGGCUGCACCUCUUUUUAUACCAGCACUACCUGGGUAAGGCUGCACCUCUUUUUAUACCAGCACUACCUGGGUAAGGCUGCACCUUUAUUUAUUUUUCAUGCAGUAGAGUUUACAAACAAGCCUGUGGUGCCACGACAGCAGACACAGGCGGAUUAAUGCAGAGAAGGUCGUGACAAUAUACAAUUGCACAUUUUUUGUUAUUAGACAGGUUGUAUAAGUUAGUGAAGUCAUUGCGAUUAAAAUAAUUGUAUCGGCAAUUGUGAAAGAGUGACUAAUAUACAGAUUAUAAACUACGCCGUUAAAUUAUCAACAUGCUUGAGAACAUAUGCUGAACUAUAGGUUGUGAUAAUUCAAGCUUAGUAAGGCUGCACCUCUUUUAUACCAGAACUACCUGGGUAAGGCUGCAUCUCUUUUUAUACCAGAGCUAAAUAAAAAUAUAAAAUAUUUGAAAGGUUACUAAGGGAUAAUAUUCAAGAAUUCCUUGAGAAGAACAUGGUUAUCAGCAAAAAAUCAGCACGGUUUUCUGAAGCACAGGUCAUGUCAAACUAACUUGAUUGCGUUUUGCGAAGAAGUAAGUAGAAGUAUAGAUCAGGGUGUUGCAGUGGAUGUGAUCUAUUUGGAUUUUGCCAAGGCAUUUGAUACAGUUCCACACAAUACAUUAGUGUUCAAACUCAAGGAAAUCGGUCUAGAUGAAAAUGCUUGUUCUUGGCUAGAACAUUGGCUUAAAAACAGAGUACAAAGAGUUGUCAUUAAUGGUAAAUUUUCAAGAUGGACAGAGGUGGCAAGUGGUGUCCCUCAAAGGUCUGUUCUGGGACCCCUUCUAUUUAACAUGUUUAUAAAUGAUCUCGAAGACAGCAUUGAAAGUCAUGUUUCAGUGUUUGCAGAUGACACCAAACUUUGUAAAACAAUACAAUGUGAGCAAGAUAUUACUUUGCUGCAGAGGGAUUUAGAUAGACUGGGGAACUGGGCACUCAAAUGGCAGAUGAAAUUUAAUGUUGAAAAAUGCAAAGUUAUGCACUUCGCCGUAAAGAAUACACAAGCAACGUAUACCCUUAAUGGAAGCGAAUUAGGGAUAACCACACAUGAAAAGGACUUGGGAAUUGUUAUAGACAACAAACUAUGCAACAAUGUGCAAUGUCAAUCAGCAGUGGCCAAGGCCAGUAAGGUAUUGUCAUGCAUUCAUUCUCGGGACGAGAAUAUCAUUUUGCCUCUUUAUAAAUCACUGGUAAGACCACAUACUGAAUAUGCUGUGCAAUUUUGGGCACCUGUUCUAAAGAAGGAUAUUAUGGCACUAGAAAAAGUGCAGAGGCGGGCUACAAAAUUAAUAAUAGGAAUGGAACAUAUCAGCUAUGAAGAAAGGUUAACAAAUUUAAACCUAUUUAGUUUAGAAAAACGUCGCCUGAGAGGGGAUAUAAUAACAUUAUACAAAUAUAUUCGGGGCCAAUACAAACCAUUGUGUGGAAAUCUAUUCACAAACCGGACUUUACACGAGGCCAUGCGUUUAGACUGGAAGAAAGAAGAUUUCGUCUAAGGCAAAUGAGAGUUUUUUUUACUGUAAGAACAAUCAGGAUGUGAAAUUCUCUGCCUGAAGAAGUGGUUUUAUCAGAGUCCAUACAGAUGUUCAAACAGCUACUAGAUGCAUACUUGCAAAAACUGAAUAUUCAAGGAUAUAAUCUUUCAAUGUAGGGUAAUAACUGCUUGAUCCAAGGAUAAAUCUGACUGCCAUUCUGGGGUCAAGAAGGAAUUUUUUUUUUUUUUUUUCCUAGCUUGCUGCAAAAUUGUGCUUCAAACUGGGUUUUUUGCCUUCUUUUGGAUAAACAGCAAAAAUCAAAUGUGAGGAAGACUGAAUUUGAUGGACGCAAGUCUCUUUUCAGCUAUGUAACUAUAUGUAACUACCUGUGUAAGGCUGCACCUCUUUUCAUACCAAAACUACCCGGGUAAGGCUGCACUUCUUUAUAUCAGAUCUAACAGGGUAAGGCCAUUUAACUCUCUGCACUGACCUUGUGUACAGACACAUGGGUCCUGAAUAACAUUACUGUGUUUUGGUUAAUGAGUGACAAAUUUUUAUUGACGCUUUGUCUGUAUCAUGAUCUAAAGGCAUACUAUAGAAUCAAAACAAGUUUUGCUUAAUGAAGCAGUUGUUGUGUAUAGCUUAUGCCCCUAAGGUCUUACUGCUCAAUUCUCCUCCAUUUAGGAGUUAAAUAAUGUUUGUUUCUGUUUAUGCUGCCAUAGGCACACCUCCUCUGGCUGUGACUGACAUGGUCUGCAAUAAAAAAUGGUUUAUUUUUCAAUCCGAUGUUAAAGGACCACUAUAGGCACCCAGACCACUUCAACUUAAUGAAAUGGUCUGGGUGCCAGGUCCAUCUAGAAUUAACACUUUCUGCUGUAAACAUUGUAGUUUCUGAGAAACUGCUAUGUUUACAAAUGGGUUAAUCCAGCCUCUAGUGGCUCUCAUUGACAGUCGCUAGAGACGCUUCUCGCUGUGAUUUUCACACUGAGAAGAUGCCAGCGUCCAUAGGAAAGCAUUGAGAAUGCUUUCCUAUGGACUGGCUGAAUGCUCGUGCUGCGCAUUCAGCCGAUGACGGGAAAAGGAGGCGGAGAUUCCUCACCGCCGAGGGAGCCAGGCGGUGGAAAAAAGGUAAGAUUUAGCCUCUUCCGCCCCCUAGAACCUGGUGGGGGGACCUAGAGAUCCUAUAGUGCCAGGAAAACGAGUGUUUUCCAGGCACUAUAGUGGUCCUUUAACUUGCUUUAGAUGUUUUAUCUUCUGCUCUGUAAUUUGAACUUUAAUCACACAAAGUAGGCUCUUGCAGGUUCUAGCAAACUAUUGGUGCAGCGUGAUCACCGCAAAACCGUGAAAUGCAUUGAGUGUAUUUGCUUAUGUUCCCCAUGUAUUCUUGAUUUCUUGUGUGUUUUACCUGCUCCCUGUUCGGGAGACCGUGUACAAACAAAGUCCGUUCACCUCCGGAACGGGGACCACCCCAAUACACCAUUUAGAACAUUAACACCUCGCUAAUGAGGUAUAAAAAAAAAAAAACCCCGCAAGGGAAGCCUCGCCGCGUGUCGGCCCGUUCGUUAGAUGAACGCCAUCCGGGGGAGCAUGACCGUGGCUUGCUUCCCACCUCGUUCGGCUCCCGAACGAGGACCUCCCCAGAGCCCCUUGGAAUGUUCACACCAAUAAAUUAGAACGUUGGCAAUUCCCAACAUAAGUGUAAAACCGCAAGGGAAGUCAUUAAUGAGUGUUUCCCUGGGGGGCCGGCAUUCGUAUAGACGGACAGCGGCAAGGGAUGCAUUUGUUUCCCGAAGUCUUAUGCAGGGAGUUGUUGCAAGGGCUGCAUAAACAAAGCAACUUAAAUCCUAAACAGCAGAGAAAUGAGCAGUGAGACUGCGGGGGCAUGAUCCAUACACCAAAACUGCUUCAUUAAGCUAAACUUGUUUUGUCUCAAGUGUCCUUUUAAACAGGUCUUUGUCUUCUUGCUCUCAUGGUUGUUUGGAAAAAUGACUGUUCUAGAAAUAUAUAGGGGUAUAUAAAGAUCUAUGAAACAGUCUGUGUGUGUGUGUUUUUGUUUUGUGGUUUUUUUUAAUUUUUUUUUGUGCAAACCUGGAAAAGGGGGCGAGUUACCAAUGCAAUGCUUCUACAGGUUUCCGUUUUUUAUAUAUAUAUAUAUAUAUAUAUAUCUCAUACCCCCCCAUGCUCUCUUUAGUAAAUCUUGUAGAUGUCACAAUGUAUGUCUCUAUUGCUUUAAGGACAGACAUUUCAGUAUUGUAGGGAAGUAUUAGGGUGAACUAUACACAGUGGUGUGUGGCUAGAUUACAAUUAAUACCUUCCUGAAUAGUUAGAGCUGGUCUGUGUGCUUGAUCCCUACAUAGCAUUCAUACACUACGUUACUGCCAUAUGCUGCUUAAUUGAUCAGUUUCCUUUUCUGGGUUCUACUCCCAUGUCGUCCGGAUUGGACACAGAUCAAACCUGCUUUAACAAAACGCGCACUCAAUCUUUCCAAAAUGCGUUGGUCAUUGUGGUUUUUUUUUUUUUUUAUUCUGUGUUUGUGGAUGGUAUGAGCCAGCGUCAAACACUUCCACGACGGCAUUUAUUUAUUUUUUAUUUUAUUUACUUUUUUCAACCAUUUCAUUUCCACACUAUGACUUCUGUUGGCUUGCUUGUUGGUUUCUUGAAUGAACUACAUACUGCCUGUGGACAUGGAUAAAUGUCAUUAUGUUAGAGCUUGAAAUGUAACUUACUCCUUAUGACUUUAAUACGUAGAUACACAUUUGCAUAUAUGGUAAAAAAGAGGAGUGAGAUAGCGCUAAGUAACUAUAGGCAGCGACCUUAAAAGGGAAUCCCUCAAACCCUUUAAAACAGAAUACAAUAAAAACAAUAAAAGGCUGCGCACAAAAGAUAAAUAAAGUCCAAUUAGAGUAAAAUACAAACAAGGACAUCAGUAAGAAAAAACCAUUUGGACUUAUUUUUAUUUUACUCUAAUUGGACUUUAUUUAUCUUUUGUGCGCAGCCUUUUAUUGUUUUUAUUACAUUUGCAUAUAUGUAUUUUAGCGCUUUUUAAAUUUUAUUUUAAUUUAGAUUUUUUUUUAAAGUAACACUUGACUCAGUUACAUAGUUACAUUAUAGACUCACUAUAGUGGUUAUAGUGCCAGGAAUAUACUGGCUCUCUCUCCUUUCCCCCACAUUUUUAAAGAUCCAUUGGAGUUUGCCUGGUGCUGCUCCAUGCUUCAUAUGGAGAGCAGGAAGAUCCUACAGGAGCGUCUGUUAGCUCUUCUAAAUUAAGCACUGCAAUGCAAAUCUUAGCUCAUUGUAAACAUCAGCCAACAAGCUUUUCUCUGCACUGCUGGGCUAAGCUUCUGGCUUUCUGUAGGAAGUUAAAUCGUUCUAAGAUGAUUUGGCAAAGCUAUGCACUAGGUACAUGUUUAGACAUGGGUCACAGCCCUUGAGGCUGGUUUGCAAUUUUUUGGGGGGUGAAGACUGGCAACUGGCAGGAGAUAGGAGGGAAGGGAUGGUAGCAUUUAUAGGAUUCAAGAGGUGAUAUUACACUUAUUGUAUAUGCCAAAUUGCAAAGUUACUAUAGUUCAAACUGUUAGAUAUGCUGUGCCUGCACUGACUGCUGUACUUUAAUGGAACACCAAGCCCCAUUGACAUGCUGAAUAUGGAUUUUGGUGUCGUCCUACUGGUUUUAUCACUGUUUUCGAGUGGAUUAACAGAACUAAUCCUUGCCUGGCACCCAAAGCCCACUUCCUUUGAUAGGGUAAUGAGUGUUCACUCUGCCCAAAAGAUGGGUAGUGAUAGACUGGGGGUGACUUGCCUAUUAGCAAAUUAGGUGGAAUGAUAUAUAUAUUUUUAAUCAAACAUAGUCUGUUCAUUUUAUUAACAAUUCAAUCAAUCUGCUAUUCCUUUUUUUUUUUUUUUGUACAGUCUUGAAUGUAAGCAAAUGUUCUGUUUGUGAGUAGACACGUGUGAUAUUGUUUGCUCUUUGUGGCCUCUAUGCAUCCCUAUUCUCCCAGAACGAGAUGUUUAAUACUUGUGACUUAACCCUAGUUAAACUACCAUAAAGGAUGAAUAAAUGUCACUUUCUGAAUAUACAUAUUUUUCCUUUUUAAGAUUAUCAUCGCUGUAAUAAGUCUCUGACCUCCAAAGGAAAGGACCCAUAUCCCUGCGAAUAUUAUGCACGUGUUUAUAAAACAAUGUGUCUCAACUCAUGGGUAAGAAAUCUUUUUUUUUUCUCUUUAAUUUAGUUCUUAAGAGAUUGCGGAGUAGAAUUACAACAUCUGGAGUGAUACAAACUGAGGGAGUAUUGUGCCAAUGGCAACCUAUUAAUAAUUGUAAAUGUGUUCUAGCGGUUUGUCCCUCCAGUGUGUCCUGGAAACUGUACGUGUAAGGCCCACUUAUCAAUAACUUGCUAUGCUGCUAAAUUAAAACAAAACCAAAGAUUUAUUGAUUUUGUAGAUAUUCAUGUCGGUCUGUUAAGUAGUUUGUAUUCUGUUGAAAUAGUCGAAAGACUCCGUUUAAUUAAUAUGGCCUUUCCAUAUUCCAAUACAUAAGCCAUUCUCCUAAAACAAACCAUGCUUGAAGCCUAACUGAUUUGUAGUGUCUGUGUACAGAAUAUGUGGCUCUAAAAACGACUGCAGCAAUUGGAGAUUCCUGGCUCAGCCUUAUACUUUGAACACUGUUUUUGUUUGCAGGUGGAAAGAUGGGACGAGCAGGUAGAGGCUGGCACAUUCGCAGGCAAAAUCUAAGUGAUUCCAUGCUCCCUUCAGUAAUGACCUAACUGUACCUGGUAAUACUGGAGACUCCUCAAUUCCUGAAUACAAUGUCUGCUCCAGGAAGUUCUUUUGCUUGUUUUCCAUGUGAAACAAGGUGUAUCUGUUCUGAGAUGGGACAUUCAGAUAAUAUUCCUUUAUAUGUCAAUAAAGACUCUUGAACAAUUAAUCUACAGAUUCUUUACUACAUCUAUGUACAUAAAAU
rnacentral:lncRNA from 1 species